rnacentral:lncRNA from 1 species
UUUUUUUUUCUGUUGUAAUUUUGUUCAUAGAAUUUUAAUGAUUAUUUUGUUCAUAGAAUUUUCUUUCUUAAUUUAUGCAUAUGUUCAUAUUGUGUAUGUAUAGGAAAAUUGUGCAUGAUCAAAGUCAUUUAUGAAUAUGUUCAUAUUUAGAAUAGAGGAAAAAGGAAAAAAAGAAGAGAAAGUGUUUAAUAUAAUUAGUUAGAAAAAUAAUAGAACUUUAGUUAAACUAGUUUAUUUAUAGUAAGUACUACUUUAUUUUAUUUAUAGUAAGUGCUUCAUAUAUAGUUGAACUAGCUAGUUGAUUUAAUAAACCAAUUUAUUUUACUAUAUAUAGAAGUAGUUUAUUUUUAGUAAGUACUACUUUAUUUAUUUAUAGUAAGUGCUUAGUAGUUGAACUAGUUGAUUUAAUUAAUAAAACUACUUUAUUUAACUAUAUAUAGAAGUAGUUCCCGCAUCGACGUCGACGAUGCCUAUCUCGCAUCCUCGUCGUCGUCGACUCGGCGGUAGAGGCCUGCUUGAUCAGGGCCAUGUUCGGGACUGGACUCCACCGGGCUGGUAUUGGGAGGUGUUACCUUCUAGGGGACGUAGGUUGGUGAGGAGGCAGCCCGUUGUUGACCCGAUCCUUGUUUGGUGGCGGUCGCAUGGGCCAGUGACGGUGCCGAGGCUUCCAGACACCGCGGAGGUGGUAUGUCACCGUGUCCGCGAGGAGGACGAGCACGUCCGUCGCUACAUGGUUGCGUUGGAGGGCAGGUUCGACAUUACCUGGCAGGUUCUUCAAGGGUCUCACUGGAGCUAUGAUCCUGUGAUCGUUCCUUAUCUUUGGGUGUCCAUCGCCCGCGACGAUACCCGUCGGGCGCUACGGUUCUAGCUGUAUUAAUUAGUGAUGCUAUAGGUAUGAUAGUAUUCGAGGAGUAUUCGACGAUGCACGGACACAAGAGAUGAUGUACUUUUGGUUAUAAUUGAAUGCAUGCUAAUUUGAAUACUACUUUAUUUUACGAUUUGGUUUUGCUUAUUGAAUGCUCAUAUUGGAAAAGUACUCCUACUUUGAAUGCUAAAAUUGAAGAGCACUCUAUGCAGAAAUGUAGGCGCCCCCUCCAUCAUCCACGCCGUCGUGGGGUAGCUUCUCCUUCAUUCCCGUGUGCUAGACAAUUUGGUGUAAUAAUGCACUCGGGAAUGAAAGGAGGAGCUACGUACCAUCACCGAUAGUCAACCCGUGAUUAAUAAUAAUGAUCUAAUUUAGGUUUUUUAGUACAUAUAUUUAAUUGUACAAGUUAAAUAUUUGAAUUAUGAACUUAGGCCGAAAAUGUUAUACUCGAACGACGAAAACCGCCUGGAGGAGUGCGAUUGGUGCCACGACGACCGAGGUAUGUGCGUCAGGUUCAUUGAGCUGGACGAAGAUCGGCGCUUCAGCAUUAAGCUCGAGGAGACCUUCGAUGUUCAUACGGUACGCAAUGACGACAAUAGAUUUUUCGUAAUUAAGCACGACUUCAACUAUUUUAAGGUGUAUUUUUUAUCUUUUCCAAUUCGACUAGCUUAUCCCAUGCUAUGCAAGACGCUAUGUCUUGGAGAGGAUGGGUUUUGAAGACCAUGAAAGUAUGGAAACCAAAAAAAUUCUCCUAAGGACCCAUCAUGGUGUGGAUUUUAAAGUAAAGUUGUACAAUGCUGAGAGUGUAACUCAUUUUGGUUGCAAAAAUUGGGAAGCACUUUGCAAAAUGUAUGGUUUUGAUGAGGGUAUGCUUGUCACCAUGAAUCUUGGCGAUCCUACAAUCCAGCAAGACAAUAUGGGCAUUUGGGUCCUUGUGGAUACACCUCCAAUUCUUCCCCCAUGUGAGCUUAACAUAGUUAUUAAGUAAUUCAUAUUGUUUAUUUUAAAAUAGUUGACAGCUUAUUUCCAUUGACAGCUUAUUUUUAUUCUUCAAAGAAUGUGCGGAAGAUGAUAGACAAAACUCACUACACCGAUGGCUCCGAAUUAACUUAUAAGGAGAAAAAUCAUCUGAUUGCAUUUUGUACUGAUCUUGAGAAUUACAAUGUCUACAAUCGAACUCCUCAAUGUUAUGGUCAAUACGUGCCACUAGUGCACGUGUUGAACUACGGUAACUACCAUGGAGAUACCCUGGUAAGAAUUUUUACUAUUACGACAUCCCUGCAUCUUUUUAAAUACUUCUAAAACUAGUACAUCAUUGCUACGAAGUUAUUACUUUGUUUUUCAACAGAUAAUCCCGAAUGAUUGUGUGCCUCAUCUGAUGUAUAUGCACGAUCGCCUUGAUGUUUUGAACAUACAACCAAGUCGUCCUACGAAUCUCAACUGUCCAUACCGGAUUUCUAAAAGAAGUGGAGACAUGACAAUCAAAGAAUGGAAAAAUGUAUGGACAGUCGUAAGGAGCUUCUUGGAAGCAAAAGGAGGCGAAGCGCAAGAAUUGGAGACAGGAUGAUCUCCAUUCUUCAUAAUGGAGAGUCAGGGUCUAUAUUGUUUUAUGCUAUUUUACCUUAAGGGUGUUUAGGUCCUACCUGAUACUGAUGAUCAUGUGCUAAGAACAAUUAUGUAGGGUUGGGUUCGAUGACUAUGAGGAUGAUGAUCGUAUGACUUGUUAUUAAUAACGAGUAGAAGUUGUAUGAUGAUGCAUGAUUAGUAGGACUUGUUAUUAUAUAUGAUGAUGUAUGAUGCGAGCAUGCAUGAGUUAUUAUAUAUCAGCGGGUGAAAUGAACAUAGCAGUAGCGUUGGUAAACCAAGGACGAAGAUAUAAGAGAGGACACUUCUCUCUAUUAGCUAGCUAACAACAACCUAAAAUUAACCCCCAAAACCCCUAAACCAGCCACUUUUUUUAAAAGAAAAAUGAAAAACCUCAACUGCUGACACGUGGAAACCUUUUGGUCCCGGUUCAUGUCACCAACCGGGACCAAAGGCCCCCUUGCCUGGGCUAUUCGCAGUGGCCAUGUGGAGGCUCAUCUGUCCCGAUUCGUGUUAGAACCGGGACUAAAGGGUGGAGGCAUUAGUAACGACCCUUUAGUCCCGGUUCAAGAACCGGGACAAAAGGCCCUCACCAACCGGGACAAAUGCUCUGUUUUCUACUAGUGAAUGUUCAUACACCAUGUCAACGCCACAUCCGAAAGCAAAAUAAACAAAUAGUAUGUUGGGAAAACACUAUAAGGAUACCAAAUGAGGGAAAGAAAACGGUCGAAGGCGCCUCAAGGCCCAAGGAGGCUAAUGGCUAGAUUUUUUAGAAACGCCUAAUGACUAGGUAUUCGUAGAGAGGUGACAGUGGACUAACUGAAGAAUGACAAUCAUGACAUCCAGCAAACUCAUGUCCUACAGCUUAAAGAGAUGUUGUCACUGCUGCAUAAAAACCAAAAACAUAAAACCUAGAGUCAACAGCAUGACACAAUAUGGCCUACUCAAUAAGCAAAUUAUUACGACUCAUCCACAAGCUAGAUCCAAGCCACCAUGGUGAAAACACUUGAUCGAAAUGAAUAAUUUCCAAAAAUGACCCAAAAGGAAGCGAAGAAAGAGCAAAGAGAAGAAGAACCAAAGAGAAAAGGCAAAGACAAAAGGAACAAAAACAUUUUUUGUGUGUUUUUAGUAAGCCAUGGGAAACAAGAAAAAAGCAAGCCAACAAAGAAUUAUUUUGGGAUUUCUCAUACUUCAGCAAACAAAACCAAAGAAACAAGAAAGAUAAAAUGUUUUUGUUGUUUUCUGAAUGACAAGAAGUGCGCUAAAAAGACCGAGAGAAGAAUGAAUUAAAUAUUUUUGGAGUUUUCCUUUUAAAGGAACAAUAGAAGCAACUAAUAAGUAAGGUGUGACAAUGAAAAUGAGGGGGCAAGAGGUACACACUCCCCCAAAGCUUAGGCUUUUUGCCUGUUGGUAAUCACAUGGGUUCCGGCUCCCCCAGUUGUAGUUUCCAAGUCCCGAUGGUGGUGGUGCUGCUGCAACAACAUACCGAGCUUCCUGCUCUAGACAUGCUUGAUCAUCAUAAUAAUCUGGCAUAUCAGUGUCCCAAAUAAUCCACUUGUUCGUGGUAGUAACAUCAAACAAAAAGGGAUAAUGAAGGGGCCCUUGCCAAGUACCAUUGUAAAUAGCGAAGGAAUACUCAUAUGAACCCCCAUAUCAUCAAAAUGAAGACAUACUCAUCUAAAUAUUUAGGACCACGACUCUGGGUGCCCAGGGUAGGGCCUUGGGCCUCCCCUUGGCCAUCUCCAUAUCCCUGGUGGCCCAUUUGGAGCAUAUAUGCCUCUUGUGUUUUUCCUUUAUUUUUUUCUACACAAAUAGAUAACACCACCAUAAAAAUUCUUCGGAGAACAACAUUAAUCAUGAUUAUUUUUUAUUCACCAGUGCAAGUUUUGAGUGUAAAAGUAUUCAUAAAAGUAGAUACGUCUUAGAUGUAUCAUACACCAAAUGCAUAAUCACUUUCACCCAGCAUAACAAUAUGUACACCGUGAUUUUAUUAACAUAAUGGUAAACAUUUCAUCACUUUCAUGUAGCAAAAGUAUGUAAGGCAUGAAAAAUUAAGAUAGACAGAAAAUAAAGAUUAUCAUGACAUCAUUUUCACUAAGAACAUAUAUACAACAUCAUACAAACAUUACAGUAAAUCUCAAUACAUAAUCACUCCGACAUCUAUAGGGCACAUAAUCUGAGAAGCCCUCAAAACCCCCUCACUUUGCACUACUUCUGGUGGCCAUCGAACAAUGUAGCAAAAGUCCUAUGUUUGUGGACAUGCAACCCACGAUUCAUCAGCACAGAGGGAAGGCAAGCCCUAUCCAAAGGUGACAAGUGAUGAGAAUUGAGAGCUUACCGUAAACAGGUGGCGGUAACUCCACCGCGAGGCGACACAGUAUCAUAAACACUUCACACUUUGAGAGGGAAAGUAGGCUCCAUAGUGGACGUUCUGACUGCAGUUCGUAGCGGGGCUGAGCUAUGGUGUCAGGCUGGGGUCUCCUGUUUACAACAACCUUUUGCAGAGCCACCAACAUGAAUAGGAUGACUAGAGCAUUUUAGAGCUGUUUUUCUCACAUGUUUUUACUCCUGUGUUUAUCCUUUUGAUCCUUGGAUCGACAUCGGGUGUUCCCUUUUCUACUGCUUCCUGCUAAGAAUGAAAUGAAAUGGUAGCAACAUGCUUUUCAAAAAAAACUUGUUAUUAGUGUUAGUGUUCAAAUAUUUUCGCCUUUAAAAAAAGUCUAACAAAUCCUGCUCUAAUGGAUGCGGUCUCUCAUGUGUCCUUUUUUUUGCAUGGUAAUACGUGUCUCAUUCAUAUCCUAAAGAACAAGGUACAAGUCACGUAAAGACCAACAUGACAAAACUGAAAAGAUAACAAAACAUCUCUGAGCUUGACACCAACGCCCGUCACCUGCCUCCGGCACCACCACAGUAGCCACCGAAGAAAAGAAUGAUGAAUCACCUUCUCACCCGAGCUCGACGCGGCUCCAUCGCUGAUAUGCAGCUUUGCGGACCUCCAAGGUGGCUCACCAAAAGUGAAGCCCUUACCGGUGAACGAAUCAGACCGGGGCAACACCCGGGACACGCCACCGAACUCCAGAUCUAGCACCCCACCACGACUAAAACACCGAAGGAGGAAACCAUAUCUGUCAUCCACGAACCACGAGCCCAACACAUGCUCCGUCUCCCAAAUGUCGUGGAUGCAAACCACAAUCUGCAUCCGCUCCUGGACUACCUCCCAAGCUCCGCGCUGAUGCUGGAGCAAAUGUCGUCGCAACGACGGAGCCCGAGGACACAGGUCCACCACAAGGAUGUCGCCGCCGCCACGCCAUCCUUGCUUGAACAGACUGGUUUCCAAAUCCUGUUGGGGAACGUAGAAGAAAUUCAAAAUUUUCUACGCAUCACCAAGAUCAAUCUAUGGAGAGACUAGCAACGUGAGAGAGAGGGAGUGCAUCUUCAUACCCUUGAAGAUCGCUAAGCAGAAGCGUUACAAGAACGCGGUUGAUGGAGUCGUACUCGCGGCGAUUCAAAUCAUGGAAGAUCCGAUCUAGCGCCAAACGGACGGUGCCUCCGCGUUCAACACACGUACAGCCCGGGGACGUCUCCUCCUUCUUGAUACAGUAAGGGGAGAGGAGAAGUUGAGGGAGAACUCCAGCAGCACGACGGCAUGGUGGUGGUGGAGCUCGUGGUAUUCCUGCAGGGCUUCGCCAAGCACUACGGAGUAGGAGGAAGAGUUGGAGGAGGGAGGGGCUGCGCCAAAAGCAAGGGUGUUGCAGCCCUCCCACCCCCUCACUAUAUAUAGGGGGAACGGAGGAGGAUGAGGAGGCGCCCGAGGGUUCCCUAGGGGAGGGGCGGCGGCCACAGGGGAAACCCUAGAUGGGUUUGGGCGCCCCCACCCCCUAGGAAACUUGCCCCCCCCCCCCAAGCAGGGAGGGGCGGCUGCCCUAGGGGCGGCGCCCCCACCUCUCCAGGUUAUGUGAUAUGGGGUGGGAGGGGCGCUCAGCCCCUUAGUGGGCUGAUGUGCCCCCUCCCCUUGGCCCAUAAGGCCCCCCAACGCUUGUCGGGGCCUCCGAAACCCCUUUCGGACACGCUGGUCAUCAUCUGGUACCUCCGGAACAAUUCUGGACUCCAAUACCCUUCGUCCAAUAUACCGGUCUUCACCUCCGGACCAUUCCGGAGCUCCUUGUCACGUCUGGGAUCUCAUCCGGGACUCCGAACAACCUUCGGUAACCACAUACUAUUUCCCAUAACAACUCUAGUGUCACCGAACCUUAAGUGUGUAGACCCUACGGGUUCGGAAACCAUGCAGACAUGACCGAGACACCUCUCCGGCCAAUAACCAAUAGCGGGAUCUGGAUACCCAUAUUGGCUCCCACAUGUUCCACGAUGAUCUCAUCGGAUGAACCACGAUGUCGGGGAUUCAAUCAAUCCCGUAUACAAAUUCCCUUUGUCAAUCGGUAUGUUACUUGCCCGAGAUUUGAUCGUCGGUAUCCCAAUACCUCGUUCAAUCUCGUUACCGGCAAGUCACUUUACUCGUUCCGUAAUGCAUGAUCCCGUGACUAACUACUUAGUCACAUUGAGCUCAUUAUGAUGAUGCAUUACCGAGUGGGCCCAGAGAUACCUCUCCGUCAUACGGAGUGACAAAUCCCAGUCUUGAUUCGUGCCAACCCAACAGACACUUUCAGAGAUACUUGUAGUGCACCUUUAUAGCCACCCAGUUACGUUGUGACGUUUGGUACACCCAAAGCAUUCCUACGGUAUCCGGGAGUUGCACAAUCUCAUGGUCUAAGGAAAUGAUACUUGACAUUAGAAAAGCUCUUAGCAAACGAACUACAUGAUCUUGUGCUAUGCUUAGGAUUGGGUCUUGUCCAUCACAUAAUUCUCCUAAUGAUGUGAUCCCGUUAUCAAUGACAUCCAAUGUCCAUGGUCAGGAAACCAUAACCAUCUAUUGAUCAACGAGCUAGUCAACUAGAGGCUCACUAGGGACAUGUUGUGGUCUAUGUAUUCACACAUGUAUUACGGUUUCCAGUUAAUACAAUUAUAGCAUGAACAAUAGACAAUUAUCAUGAACAAGGAAAUACAAUAAUAACCAUUUUAUUAUUGCCUCUAGGGCAUAUUUCCAACAGUCUCCCACUUGCACUAGAGUUAAUAAUCUAGUUCAUAUCACUAUGUGAUUGUAAUGAAUUGAACACCCAUUGGGUUUGAUCAUAUCUCGCUUGUGAGAGAGGUUAUUAGUCAAUGGGUCUGAAUCUUUUAGAUCCGUGUGUGCUUUACAAAUCUCUAUGUCAUCUCCUAGAUGCAGCUACCACGCUCUAUUUGGAGCUAUUCCAAAUAACUGUUCUACUAUACGAAUCCGGUUUACUACUCAGAAUAAUCAGAAUUAGUGUAGAGCCUACGUCUAAUUCCUUAGUCCACUAGUUACUAAAGAUAACUUUGACCGUUGUCCUGUGAUCCAUUUCUGGAUCACUCUUGUACCCCUUGACUGACUCAUGGCAAGGCACACUUCAGGUGCGGUACACAACAUAGCAUACUGUAGAGCCUACGUCUGAAGCAUAGGGGACGACCUUCGUUCUUUCUCUCUCUUCUGCCGUGGUCAGGUCUUGAGUCUUACUCAAUUACUCACACCUUAUAACACAGCCAAGAACUCCAUCUUUGCCGAUCUAUUUUGAACUCCUUCAAAAUCUUGUCAUGGUAUGUAUUCAUUUGAAAGUACUAUUAAGCAUUUUUGAUCUAUACUUAUAGAUCUUGAUGCUCAAUGUUCAAGUAGCUUAAUCCAGGUUUUCCAUUGAAAAACACUUUUCAAAUAACCCUAUAUGCUUUCUAGAAAUUCUACAUCAUUUCUGAUCAACAAUAUGUCAACAACAUAUACUCAUCAGAAAUUCUAUAGUGCUCCCACUCACUUCUUUGGAAAUACAAGUUUCUCAUAAACUUUGUAUAAACUCGAAAUCUUUGAUCAUAUCAUCAAAGCGUAUAUUCCAACUCCGAGAUGCUUACUCCUGUCCUUAGAAGGAUUAUUGGAGCUUUGCAUACUUGUUAGCAUCUUUUAGGAUUGACAAAACCUUCUGGUUGUAUCACAUACAACCUUUCCUCAAGCAACUCGUCGAGGAAACAAUGUUUUGACAUCCUAUCUGCAAGAUUUCAUAAAUAAUGCAGUAACUGCUAAUACAAUUUCAAUAGACUCUUAGCAUCGCUACGAGUGAGGAAGUCUCAUCGUAGUCAACUCCUUGAACUUUUCGAAAAAUAUCUUAGCGACAAGUCGAGCUUUCUUAAUGGUGACACUUACCAUCAUUGCAUGUCUUCCCUUUUAAAAUCCAUCUGUACCCAACAGCCUUACGACCAUCAAGUAGUUCUUCCAAAGUCUAUACUUUGUUUUCAUACAUGGAUCCUCUCUCGGAUUUUUUAUGGCCUCGAGCCAUUUGUCGGAAUCCGGGCCCACCAUCGCUUCUCCAUAGCUCGUAGGUUCAUUGUUGUCUAGCAACAUAACCUCUAAGACAGGAUUACCGUACCACUCUGAAGCAGUACGCGUCCUUGUCGACCUACGAGGUUUGGUAGUGACUUGAUCCGAAGUUUCAUGAUCACUAUGAUCAGCUUUCACUUCAACUGGUGUAGGCGCCACGGGAACAACUUCAUGUGCCCUGCUACACACUGGUUGAAGUGAUGGUUCAAUAACCUCAUCAAGUCUCCACUAUCCUCCCACUCAAUUCUUUCAAGAGAAACUUUUCCUCGAGUAAGGACCCGUUUCUAAAAACAAUCUAUUUUGCUUCCGGGUCUGAGAUAGGAGGUAUACCCAACUAUUUUGGGUGUCCUAUGAAGAUGUAUUUAUCCACUUUGGGUUCAAGCUUAUCAGGAUGAAACUUUUUUCACAUAAGCGUCGCAGCCCCAAACUUUCAAGAAACAACAGCUUAGGUUUCUCUGAACCAUAGUUCAUACACUGUCAUCUCAACGGAAUUACGUGGUGCCCUAUUUGAAGUGAAUGUGGUUGUCUCUAAUGCCUAACCCAUAAACAAUAGUGGUAAUUCGAUAAGAGACAUCAUGGUAUGCACCAUAUCCAAUAGGGUGCAGCUAUGAUGUUCGGACACACCAUCACACUAUGGUGUUCCAGGCGGUAUUAGUUGUGAAACAAUUCCCACAAGGUCUUAAUUGUGUACCAAACUCGUAACUCAAAUAUUCAUCUCUAUGAUCAUAUUAUAGACAUUUUAUCCUCUUAUCAUGAUGAUCUUCAACUUCACUCUGAAAUUACUUGAACCUUUCAAUAAUUCAGACUUGUGUUUCAUCAAGUAAAUAUACUCAACAUCUACUCAAAUCAUCUGUGAAGUAAGAACAUAACAAUAUCCACUGCGUGCCUCGGCACUCAUUGGACAGCACACAUGAAAAUGUAUUACUUCCAACAAGUUGCUCUCUUGAUCCAUCUUACUGAAAACGAGGCUUUUCAGUCAUCUUGCCCAUGUGGUAUGAUUUGCAUGUCUCAAGUGAUUUAGAAUCAAGUGAGUCCAAAUGAUCCAUCUGCAUGGAGUUUCUUCAUGCGCACAUACCAAUAGACAUGGUUCGCAUGUCUCAAACUUUUCAAAAACGAAUGAGUCCAAAGAUCCAUCAUCAUGGAGCUUCUUCAUGCGUUUUAUACCAAUAUGACUCAAAUGGCAGUGCCACAAGCAGGUGGUACUAUCAUUACUAUCUUAUAUCUUUUGGCAUGAACAUGUGUAUCACUACGAUCGAGAUUCAAUAAACCAUUCAUUUUAGGUGCAAGACCAUUGAAGGUAUUAUUCAAAUAAACAGAGUAACCAUUAUUCUCCUUAAAUGAAUAACCGUAUUGUGAUAGACAUAAUCCAAUCAUGUAUAUGCUCAACGCAAACACCAAAUAACAAUUAUUUAGGUUUAACAUCAAUCUCGAUGGUAGAGGGAGCAGGCGAUGCUUGAUCACAUCAACCUUGGAAACAUUUCCAACACACAUCGUCAUCUCACCUUUAGCUAGUCUCCGUUUAUUCCGUAGCUCUUUUAUUUUGAGUUACUAACACUUAGCAACCGAACCGGUAUCUUAAUACCCUAGUGCUACUAGGAGUACUAGUAAAGUACACAUUUAAUACAAUGUAUAUCCAAUAUACUUCUGUCAACCUUGCUAGCCUUCUCAUCUACCAAGUAUCUAGGGUAGUUCUGCUUCAGUGACCGUUCCCUCAUUACAGAAACACUUAGUCUCGGGUUUGGAUUCAACCCUGGGUUUCUUCACUGGAGCAGCAACUGAUUUGUCGUUUCAUGAAGUAUCCCUUCUUGCCCUUGCCCUUCUUGAAACUAGGGGUUUCACUAACCAUCAACAAUUGAUGCUCCUUCUUGAUUUCUACUUUCGUGGUGUCAAACAUCAUGAAUAUUUCAAGGACCAUCAUAUUUAUCCCUGAUAUGUUAUAGUUCAUCACGAAGCUCUAGUAUCUUGGUGGCAAUGACUUUGGAGAAACAUCACUAUCUCAUCUGGAAGAUUAACUCCCACUCGAUUCAAGUGAUUGUAGUACUCAGACAAUCUGAGCACAUGCUCAACGAUUGAGCUUUUCUCCAUUAGUUUGUAGGCUAAGAAACUCGUCAGAGGUCUCAUACCUCUUGACAUGGGCACUAGCCUGAAAUCCCAAUUUUAGCCCUUGGAACAUCUCAUAUGUUUCGCGACGUUUCAAAAAUCGUCUUUGGCGCCUCAAUUCUAAACCGUUUACCAUUACUGAACUAUCACGUAGUCAUCAAAACGUGUAUGUCAGAUGUUCACAACAUCCACAGACAACGUUCGAGGUUCAGCACACCGAGCGGUGCAUUAAGGACAUAAGCCUUCUACACAGCAAUGAGGACAGUCCUCAGUUUACGGACCCAGUCCGCAUAAUUGCUACUAUCAACUUUCAACUAAAAUUUUCUCUAGGAACAUAUCUAAAACAGUAGAACUAAAGCGUGAGCUACGACAUAAUUUGCAAAUACCUUUUGACUAUGUUCAGGAUAAUUAAGUUCAUCUAAUGAACUCCCACUUAAAUAGACAUCCCUCUAGUCAUUUAAGUGAUACAUGAUCCGAGUCAACUAGGCCGUGUCCGAUCAUCACGUGAGACGGACUAGUCAUCAUCGGUGAACAUCUUCAUGUUGAUCGUAUCUUCUAUACGACUCAUGUUCGACCUUUCGGUCUCUUGUGUUCCGAGGCCAUGUCUGUACAUGCUAGGCUCAUCAAGUCAACCUAAGUGUUUUGCAUGUGUAAAUCUGGCUUACACCUGUUGUAUGUGAACGUUAGAAUCUAUCACACCCGAUCAUCACCUGGUGCUUCGAAACAACGAACUUUCGCAACGGCGCACAGUUAGGGGGAACACUUUCUUGAAAUUAUUAUGAGGGAUCAUCUUAUUUACUACUAUCGUUCUAAGUAAAUAAGAUGCAAAAACAUGAUAAACAUCACAUGCAAUCAAAUAGUGACAUGAUAUGGCCAAUAUCAUUUUGCUCCUUUUGAUCUCCAUCUUCGGGGCGCCAUGAUCAUUAUCGUCACCGGCAUGACACCAUGAUCUCCAUCAUCGUGUCUCCAUGAAGUUGUCUUGCCAACUAUUACUUCUACUACUAUGGCUAACGGUUUAGCAAUAAAGUAAAGUAAUUACAUGGCAUUAUUCAAUGACACACAUGUCAUACAAUAAAUUAAGACAACUCCUAUGGCUCCUGCCGGUUGUCAUACUCAUCGACAUGCAAGUCGUGAUUCCUAUUACAAGAACAUGAUCAAUCUCAUACAUCACAUAUAUCAUUCAUCACAUCCUUUUGGUCAUAUCACAUCACGCGGCAUAUGCUGCAAAAACAAGUUAGACGUCCUCUAAUUGUUGUUGCAAGUUUUUACGUGGCUGCUAUAGGUUUCUAGCAAGAACGUUUCUUACCUACGCCAAAACCACAACGUGUUAUGCCGAUUUCUAUUUACCCUUCAUAAGGACCCUUUUCAUCGAAUCCGAUCCGACUAAAGUGGGAGAGACUGGCACCCGCUAGCCACCUUAUGCAACAAGUGCAUGUCAGUCGGUGGAACCUGUCUCACGUAAGUGUACGUGUAAGGUCGGUCCGGGCCGCUUCAUCCCACAAUACCGUCGAAACAAGAUAGGACUAGUAACGGUAAGCAUAUUGAACAAAACCAACACCCACAAUUAUUUGUGUUCUACUCGUGCAUAGAAUCUACACAAUAGACCUAGCUCAUGAUGCCACUGUUGGGGAACGUAGCAGAAAUUCAAAAUUUUCUAUGCAUCACCAAGAUCAGUCUAUGGAGAGACCAGCAACGAGAGAGAGAGGGAGUGCAUCUUCAUACCCUUGAAGAUCGCUAAGCGGAAGCGUUACAAGAACACGGUUGAUGGAGUCGUACUCGCGGCGAUUCAAAUCGUGGAAGAUCUGAUCUAGCGCCGAACGGACGGCGCCUCCGCAUUCAACACACGUACAGCCCGGGGACGUCUCCUCCUUCUUGAUCCAGCAAGGGGAGAGGAGAAAUUGAGGGAGAACUUCGGAAGGACGACGGCAUGGUGGUGGUGGAGCUCCUGGUAUUCCUGCAGGGCUUCGCCAAGCACUACGGAGUAGGAGGAAGAGUUGGAGGAGGGAGGGGCUGCGCCAAAAGCAAGGGUGCUGCAGCCCUACCAACCCCUCACUAUAUAUAGGGGAAGGGAGGAGGAGGAGGCGCCCUAGGGUUCCCUAGGGGAGGGGCGCGGCCACAAGGGAAACCCUAGAUGGGUUUGGGCGCCCCCACCCCCUAGGAAACUUGCCCCCCAAGCCGGGAGGGGCGGCUGCCCUAGGGGUGGCGCCCCCACCUCUCCAGGUUAUGUGAGAUGGGGUGGGAGGGACGCUCAGCCCCUUAGUGGGCUGAUGUGCCCCCUCCCCUUGUCCCAUAAGGCCCCCCAGCGCUUGUCGGGGCCUCCGAAACCCCUUUCGGACACGCUGGUCAUCAUCUGGUACCCCCGGAACAAUUCCGGACUCCAAUACCCUUCGUCCAAUAUACCGAUCUUCACCUCCGGACCAUUCCGGAGCUCCUCGUCACGUCUAGGAUCUCAUCCGGGACUCCGAACAACCUUCGGUAACCACAUACUAUUUCCCAUAACAACUCUAGCGUCACCGAACCUUAAGUGGGUAGACCCUACGGGUUCGGGAACCAUGCAGACAUGACCGAGACACCUCUCCGGCCAAUAACCAAUAGCGGGAUCUGGAUACCCAUAUUGGCUCCCACAUGUUCCACGAUGAUCUCAUCGGAUGAACCACGAUGUCGGGGAUUCAAUCAAUCCCGUAUACAAUUCCCUUUGUCAAUCGGUAUGUUACUUGCCCGAGAUUCGAUCGUCGGUAUCCCAAUACCUCGUUCAGUCUCGUUACCGGCAAGUCACUUUACUCGUUCCGUAAUGCAUGAUCCUGUGACUAACUACUUAGUCACAUUGAGCUCAUUAUGAUGAUGCAUUACUGAGUGGGCCUAGAGAUACCUCUCCGUCAUACGGAGUGACAAAUCCCAGUCUUGAUUCGUGCCAACCCAACAGACACUUUCAGAGAUACUUGUAGUGCACCUUUAUAGCCACCCAGUUACGUUGUGACGUUUGGUACACCCAAAGCAUUCCUACGGUAUCCGGGAGUUGCACAAUCUCAUGGUCUAAGGAAAUGAUACUUGACAUUAGAAAAGCUCUUAGCAAACGAACUACACGAUCUUGUGCUAUGCUUAGGAUUGGGUCUUGUCCAUCACAUCAUUCUCCUAAUGAUGUGAUCUCAUUAUCAAUGACAUCCAAUGUCCAUGGUCAGGAAACCAUAACCAUCUAUUGAUCAACGAGAUAGUCAACUAGAGGCUCACUAGGGACAUGUUGUGGUCUAUGUACUCACACAUGUAUUACGGUUUCCAGUUAAUACAAUUAUAGCAUGAACAAUAGACAAUUUUCAUGAACAAGGAAAUACAAUAAUAACCAUUUUAUUAUUGCCUCUAGGGCAUAUUUCCAACAAAUCCAUCCCCAACCAUAGGACCGAUAACCUUGUUAGGAAAUGAUCCGAAGAAUCUUUAUUCAAUGUUGUCAUCGUCGUUGCCGAAGCAAAGACGAUGAACAGCCUAAAAACCUAGACUACGAGAGAGUAAAAACGAUCCACACGCGUGGAUCCGGCGACCCCCCUCACCACCGACGACCGAGGUCGCCGGCGGAGGGGAGCCGCCGGAGAGCGGCGUUGGAAGACCGGCCUCCCCUGACGGCGGCUAGGGUUCUAGCCGCCAGGGACGAGAUCGAUACUUACAUACGCGAAUAGCGCUGUUUUGACUUUUCGUCUCUCUCAUGUGUCCUGUUGGUGAAUCGUUGUAUACCAAGUCGGCAAAAUACAUAAAAGGUUCACAGCAAUUGCUAUAUGCGACGUGGCGGAACAGAAUUUGUUACCAGUUUGAUCAACAUUUUGAUCCCUCUGGACAACUUAACACUAGUCAGAUAGCUACGGAGAAAUCCGAGGCCAGCAGUGCUGGCCACGACGGCGGCGACGCGCGAGGGCGCCGUACCCUUCUUGUAGGCAUCGUCCAGGUCGCCUCCUUCCCCUCUUCCUUUCACCCAGCUCGUAUGCGGGCCGAAAGCCCAAAUCCUUGCCGGAUCGAGUGACAGCGGCGCUCCGGGCGUCGUCACCCUCUUGGGGGUGUCGUUCGUGAUGAGCUUGGCGUGGAUGUAAUGCUUUGGUUGCUUGGCGGCGGUUGGUGGCGUGGUCGGAGUUCGUCUGGUGGCGGUGCGUUGGCACUCUGCCGCCUAUGUGCUCAGCCUCGGAGUCCUUCUUCCACGGUGCUUGGUCUUCAGCAGCCUUGCCGGACCCGGCGGAGCGGUGCUUCAUCCUACUCGUUGAUGGCGGCGUAUCUCGGCGGCGUGGCGCAGUGGAGAUUCAGUGUCCGAUGUGUGGCGAUGGACUCGCGCAGGAGGACGAAGCUGUUUGGUGUCGUGGUGACAUCGAUGGCUGAGUGGACAAACAAGGUAGAAGCCUCAAUAUUUGCUCUGAGGACGGGCCUGUGGAAGAUGGCGGCGACGACACACGAGUGCGUCGAACCGGUUUGUACUCCAGACCCGGUAUGUGGCUCGGCUGGGGCUUCCGGCUUUUGAUGUUAGGAUUAGGUGACUGGUCUGGGUAGUGGUCCAGCUAGCACCCCUUCAUCAUUUUGAUGUUAGGCUUAGAUGAAUGGUCUGGGUAGUGGCCCAGCUAGCAAGCCUUCAUCAUUUGGAUAGGAGUAGUGGCAUAUGUUGCCAAGAUGAUGAAUUCAGGCAUAUUAUUGUAAUACUUUGUAAGGUCCUCGAAAAUAAUCAAUAAAGUGGCCGUAUGCAUCUCCCAGAUGCAGAGGCCGGGGGUCAUCCUCCUUUUCUAAAAAAAAGAUGAAUUUUCGUGUGUGUGCGUGGGGGAGGGGGGUACCGAGUACUAUUAUCGGUGUUUGACCGGGAAAUACCCUUUGGUUCUACAUAAGAAAAAAAAUACCAAAAAGUCAAAAAAGUUUAGAAGUUUUUUUGGAAUAAACUUGACUUUCUUCUGCACUAGUAUAUAAAUUUUUGCGAACAAAAACCCAGCCUUAACUUCAGAGCAAAAAAAAGCUUUUUUUUUGUGGCUAUUAUAGGUUAUUAUUCACACUAUUUUGACCAAACUUUUUUGUCUUUUUUCCGAAAGAAGUCAACGGGGUUUUUUCCUUUUGUGAAAAUUUUCAUACAAGUACAGUGGAAUGUCAACUUUAUUUCAAAAAUAUUUUCACAGUCUUUUUACUUUUUAUUUAAUUACUAUUUUUUCAUAUAGGGUGUAUAUACACGCAUAGGCCAAAAGUUCUCCUCCGUGUUUGACGGACAAACCUACCUCACUGAAUCUAUCAAUACAAAUACACAUACAUGUCGAGUAUUUUCUUUAAAUUCUUACGAGUCACGAUCCUGCAUCCAAAAUGAUAGAAAUCGUGUGGGUAUAAUAUACAUUUAUCUUUUGUAUUGUUCAUUUGAGCAAAUCAAGAUCGGGACGUUUACUUCACCAGCGGCUCACUACACCAAAAUAUUUACUAGUAACAUACACUCACUUAUGUACUCACAUAUUCCCCACUUGAGCUAACUGAAUAAUGUUACGUACCACGUUGUGUGACGCCGAUGGAACAAAAAAUCAACUUAAGCAGUUAAUUAAUUACUAGUGGUUCCAAAAGGUCAAGUAGCAAGUAGCUAGCAGCCCUCACUCCGUCGGACUAGGUCCUUGGCUCCUUGCGCAGUGACGAGACCGACUAUGACUGUCGUCAUACCAACCGCAAUCGAGGUAAGCCUGGUUUCAGAAUACAAGCAUCGACUAAUUUUCUUUUAGGCACAGGUUAGUUCGCUUCGCUCCAAAUUAAUUGAAGUUUUAGAUUUUUCUUAAGCUUUUUUUUUUUGAAAUUUGACUAAAUUUGUAGAAUAAAAUGUCAACAUCCCUACAAAAAAAAUUAUAUUCUAUAUAGAAUAUAUUUUCACCAUGUAUACGUUCUAUGUAGUUACAACUCCUUUUGUUUUUUUACUCCGUUUAUUAGGUUUUUUCUAUGUCAAACUGUCCAAACUUUGGCCAAUUUUAUAAAAAAGUAUUAACAUUCAAAAUACAACAUUAAUGUCAUUAUAUUCAUCAUGAAAUAUACUUCUAUAUUACAUUUAUUAGGUAUUUAGAUGUUGAUAUAUUUUAUAGGACCCCGAUAAGUCCCGAACGUUCGGGAUUUGCCCAUGGCAAAUCGAACAUGUUUUUUAUGGUAACAGGAGGAUGGCUGUUUAGUCGAUAAGCAUGGCAAUUUUGUCCUUAUUUUACUUUUUAUUUACAGAAAUUGUCAUACCUGCCAACUAAACUUGCCAUACUCACGUCAACCAAAGUUGCGAUAAAAAACGUUUCGAUUUGCCAUGGGCAAAAUCCGAAGGUUCUGGAUUUAUUAUUUCGGAUUUUUAAUAAAUUUGAUUAAACUUUGCAAAUUUGACAUCAGAUAAAUCUAACACGCAAACUAAAAAAAAUUCUUUAUUGAAAAUAUUUGCACCAUGUAUAUGUCCUAUGUAGUUACCACUCCCUUUUUGUUUACUCUGCGUAUUACUAGGUUUUUUCGAAGUUAAACUCCCCAAAAUUUUACCAAGUUUUUUUAAAAUAUUAACAUUCAAAAUACAACAUUAAUAUCAUUAGAUUCAUCAUGAAAUAUACUUUCAUAUUAUAUUUAUUAGGUAUUGUAGAUGUUGAAAUAUUUUCUAAUAUAAAUUUGAUUAAACUUUGUAAAGUUUGACAUUAGAUAAAUGGUGUUAGUUUCCCUUUGCAUAACUUGGCACCAGAUCGAGCACCAUUUGCAAAUGGCUCUGCUCCCGUGCUCCCUGAAAUGCGCUACUACUCAGCGUCGCCUCCUGCGUGUCUUCAUCGUCUCUCUCCUUCUCCACCAUGCCGACUCCCUCAGCUUCCGGUACGACUCCAUCAACACAACCAACAAGGUCGAUUUCGGCGCGCUCGGGGACGACUGCAACAUCAGCGAUCACAGGGCCGACCUCACCAGCAUAAGCGCCAAUAACUACACCAACAACCUCGGCCGCCUGGUGUACCCCAAGCUGGUGCAACUCUGGGACGCUGCCACCGGCGAGACGGCCAGCUUCACCACCACCUUCUCCUUCGGCAUGGACGCCGUGCCGGGGCAGCCGGUUGGCCAUGGCAUGGCCUUCUUCCUCACCUCUCAAGUCGACGUCCCGUCUGGCCUACCCGCGGGGUCCUAUGGCGGCUACCUCGGCCUCUUCAGUCCUGGCGCCACCGGCGGUGACCAUGUUGUCGCCGUGGAGUUCGACACGUUCAGGGACGAGUGGGACCCCAGCGACCAUCACAUCGGAGUCGAUCUUAACAACAUCAGCUCGUUCGGCAGCUACACCACCUUGCCGAACGACAGCUUCGUCGGCCGGGUCAUGUCCGCGCGGAUCGACUACAACAGCGGCACGGGCCAGCUCGAUGUCAUGCUGCACAACGGCAGCAGCGACGGCGCGACCCAUGAUCUCAGCGUCAAUGUUGACCUGCGAAGCUUCCUGCCGGAGCAGGUAAGCGUCGGCUUUUCAGCGGCGACGAACUCAGAGCGGGUCGCGCUGCACUACGUGCUGUCCUGGUCUUUCAACUCUUCGCUGCCACUGGCUGCAAAAUCAACUCAAAAAUCACAACCGCGGCGCACUGCUGUGCCGCUCGUGGCCGGUGUCACCGUGGCAACGGUGCUGGCUCUCCUUCUAAGCACGGCGGUAGGGGUGCUGCUGUGGCGGUCGAGACGCCAGGAGCGCUCUGCCGACGACGACGACGACGGCGACGACGAGGACCCGUGGCCGAUCGACGAGGACCUCGAGUCCGGGUCGGGACCACGGCCGUUCCAGCUGAGCAAGCUGACGGCGGCGACAAGAAACUUCUCUGAGGAGACAAAGCUCGGGCAGGGCGCGUCCGGGUCGGUGUACCGCGGUCGCGUCGAUGAGCUCGACGUGGCUAUCAAGGUGUUCUCCAGGGGUGGCUCGGCGCAGGGGAAGCGAGAGUACACGGCGGAGGUCACCGUCAUCAGCCGGCUGCGGCACCGCAACCUGGUGCAUCUCAUAGGCUGGUGCGAUGGCCGCAAGAAGCUCCUCCUCGUCUACGAGCUCGUGCCCAACGGAAGCCUCGACCGGCACCUCUAUAGCGCAACGGCGGUGCUGCCAUGGCCGGCGAGGUACAAGAUCAUUCUCGGGCUCGGCGCCGCCGUGCUGUACCUGCACGAGGAGUGGGGCCAGUGCGUCGUCCACGGCGACAUAAAGCCGAGCAACAUUAUGCUCGACCAGUCCUUUGGCGCCAAGCUAGGCGACUUCGGCCUCGCACGGCUCAUCGACCACGGCGUCGGCCUGCAGACCAUGACCGCCGUGGCCGGCACGCCUGGGUACCUCGACCCGGAGUGCAUCGCCACGGGGAAGGCGAGCACCGAGUCCGACGUGUACAGCUUCGGCGUCGUGCUCCUGGAGGUCGCCACCGGCAGGCGGCCCAUGGCGCCGCCCCCGCCGGGCGACACGAGGAUCUUCCGGCUGGUGGAGUGGGCAUGGGGAAUGUAUGGUCGAGACGCGGUGCUGGACGCGGCCGACGAGGCGCUGUGCGGACAGUUUGACGCUCGGGAGGUGGAGCUCGUGCUGGUGAUCGGGUUGUGGUGCGCACACCCCGACGCCAGGGCGCGGCCGAGCAUCAGGGAAGCAGUCGAGGUGCUGCGCUCGGGGAUGGCCGCCAGGGUGCCGGCGCUUCCCCCUCGGAUGCCCGUGGCCAUGUACGUGCAGCCUUACGAUCCGGCUGACAAGCAUGUCGCGGACGACGCGUCGAAGGCAAACCACGGGAUGAGCUCUCACGAUUACGGCCGCCAGCCUCCGGCCGCCGACGACUACCAGACGCUGUCUACCACCUCGAGCAUUCCUCCGGUUGGGUCAAAACAGUCGGUUCGUUUGCUGAGCGGAAGGUAGUUCGCUCUUCGUUCCCCGUCAACUCUUGAACAAAGAAAGCACAGUACUAUUCCAUUACUUGUUAAAUACUCCAAAUUUAAAAUAUUGAAUGGUUCUUCUGCUUUUGCCCUUACUAAUAAGCUUUGCACGUAUCCGCCCAAAAAAAAUCCUUGCUCAUAGAACCCUUUUAAGCCAUCUAUGCUCAUAAAACCCUUCUAAGCCAUCUAUAUUCUAUUGUCUGGAGAACAACAUGCCAUGUAUAUUGGCUAUUGCAGAAGUUAAAAGAGUUGGCUCGAGACAUAUAUAUAUAUAUAUAUAUGUCUUUUUUUUUGAAAGAUCCAGCUGAUUGCUGGCUUGUAUUGAUUAAUAGCAGGGAGCAGGUGACAAAAACAUCAAGUGCGAGUAGUGAUCCGAGGAUCAAAGGGAGAAAAACAAAAGAUACAGGGCAGGUGUUAUGGCUAUUGUCUCAGGGCAAGGAGUGCUCCAAAAAUGUUGCUCCUGCUUGUCGCCAAAAUUCUAGCGUUCGUUGGACGGCUGUUGUGAUGCUAUCUCUCGUCGCCAUCUUGCCUCCGAAGGUGCUCUCGUUUCGAGCCUUCCAAAUCCCAGAGAGGAUUAGGAUGAUUGUUGUCUUGAUGGCUUUUUUGUGCUCGGGCCGCGCUGCACCGAUCAUUUCAGCGAUGAUGGCCGUCGGCUUAGUCUUGCUUUGCCACCGCAGAGGGUGGAGUGAGCUGCAUCCCCCUCUCGCCGCUGCAGUCGUCCAGACUUCAAUCGACAGUGGGCAUUGCCAGAACAAGUGCAUGGAUGACUCCAAGUUCCGGACGCAUAGCUGACAGAAGUACUCAUUUGGCCAUCCUCUCCGUUGGAGACGGUCGUUGCACCAUAAUCUGUUUUUAAGUAGCAACCAUGUGAAGAUCUUCAUCUUGGCCGGUGCCCAGGUGUUCCAAAUCAGGGUCUUGAAAUCCGAUUUGAUGUGGCCUUGAAAUUGCGCCUUAUAGGCAGAGCUAGCAGUGUAGAUCCCUGAUGCUUCAUGCUUCCAUUUGAUGGUGUCACUGACGUGGUCUUGAAGAUGAAUAUCAGCAGCUUGUAACCAUCUGUGCAGCCUGAUUGUUUCUGACCAAAGGUGCUGAGUGUUUCCAUGGGCGAGGUCUUGGAUCCAUGUGCCAUUUGUCAAAGCUUGCUUGACCGAACAGUUUUUUCUUCUGGAAUGGCUGUAGAGAGCAGGAAAGGCCGUCUUCAGGCUGCCCGAGCCUGUCCAUGGGCAGUGCCAGAAGGAGGCCUUCUCGCCGUUGCCCAGCGUGAUCGAGGUGGAGGCACAGAAAAGAGCUCGGUCUCCCUCGUCGCAAGGCAGUUGCAUGCCAAUCCAUGGUCUGUCCGUACUGGUCCAGGACAGCCAUAGCCAUCGCAGCCGAAGCGCUCUACUGAAGCGGUUUAGGUCCAAAACUCCCAACCCGCCAUUUUCGAUAGGGGAGCACACCACCGGCCAUGCUACUUUGCAUUUCCCUCCACUGAGAUCUUCUUCUUGUGCCCAAAGGAAUCUCCUACGAACUUUGUCAACCUCAGCAAGAAAUUUCUUUGGCGCUCGGAGUACAGACAGAGCAAAGGUAGGCAGCGCUGUAAGCACACUGCGUACCAAAACCCUUCUGCCCGCGAUGGUCAUGAGCUUGCCCUUCCAUCCCGCGAGUCGUGCCCUAAUCCGAUCAAGGAUGAACUGGAUGUGGACUAGGCGCAGUCUUGAAACGGUUAGUGGGAGGCCCAGGUAUCUCAAGGGGAACCCCACAGUUGUCCCACCAAAAUUGCUGAGUAUGUCAGGGAGAUUGAUCUCCUCGCAGCGGAUUGGGGUGACGGUCGACUUUGUAGGGUUUAUUUGCAGCCCGGAUGCUUGACCGAAGUUGCGCAGAAUGUCUAGUAGGGCGUCGACCUCUACUUUCUCAGGGUUGGCGAAGAUUACGGCGUCGUCAGCGUAGAGACUACCCCGUAGAGAGACGUCUCUGCCUGGCAGAGGGACGAGUAGCUCUAAUUCAGUUGCUUGUUGUAGUAGCCUGUGGAGGGGAUCGAUGGCGAUGAUGAAAAGGAGGGGUGAAAGCGGGUCUCCCUGCCGAAGCCCCUUGCGGUGACGAAUCUUGUGCCCUACAGUGCCAUUUAGCAUGAAGGAUGAUGAAGCCGAUGCGAGGAGCAGCGCAACCCAGUCACGCCAGCGCGCGGAGAAGCCUAGCACUUGCAGUAGUUCUAGCAAAUAUUCCCACGACACAUUGUCGAAAGCCCGCGCUAUAUCUAGCUUGAACAGGAGCGCCGGUGUUUUCUUCCUAUGCAGCGAUCUGACAGCGUUCUGGACAAACAAAUAACUGUCUUGCGUGCUUUUGGACUUCAGGAAGGCAGAUUGAGCCGGCGAGAUUACGUGGUGGAUUACUGCUGAUAGUCUCAUUGAGAGCACUUUAGCAAUCAAUUUUGCAACUGAGUGAAUCAGGCUGAUCGGUCUGAAGUCUUGAAUCUUCUCUGCACCAUCUUUUUUUUGGGAUGAGAGCUACUAUGGCAGAGUUCAAAUUGUUGAAACCUCCCCCUACAAGGUGAUAGAACUUGUUGAAAGCUUGUAGGAUAUCUGCCUUGAUCAGUGGUCAGCAGGUUCUAAAGAAGAUUCCCGUGAAACUGUCGGGCCCAGGCGCCUUCUCUAGGGGUGAAGCUUUGAUCGCCUCCCAGAUUUCUUCUUCAGAAAAAGGGUUGUCGAGGCCACCUGCUUGGAUCGUUGGCAUCUCGAGCAAGUGCCAGUUGAUGCCGGUCGCUCUCGUCGUCUUGGUUCCUAUGUUGUCGUGGAAGUGAUUGUAUAUGGCAGCUUCUUUUUCCUCAUGUGUCGUGACAAGCGAAUCGCCUACCUUCAGGCUAUGGAUGUGGUUUUUCCGUCUGCGUGAUUUCAUCUUGGCGUGGAAAAACUUUGUUCCCGCGUCUCCCACCCGGAGCCAUGUCAGGCGAGAAGCCUGGCGCUUUCUGGCUCGGUCGAUCGCCGCCAAACCCAGAAGCCGUAGCUUCAAGAGUUUUCUGAGGUUGAAUUCGGCGUCAGACAAACGCCGGGUUUCCUGAGCUACAUCUAAUCGGAGCACAAUUUCUGCUGCUAUAUGAAACUGUAGCCUCGCAUCGCUAAAGUGUGCCUUGCUCCAGAUCUUCAGGUCACGCGUCGUGCACUCCAUUUUGGUGUGAAGACGCUGAAAAGCGCAGGAGGACUGCACUGGCCUAUUCCAGGCGGCUGUAACCGUUUCAUGGAAACGAGGGAAGCGAGGCCAGAAGCUCUCAAAUCUAAAGCUCGCACGGCGUGGCGGGGCACUUGUGUCGGCUAAGAUCAGAGGGCAGUGGUCUGAAGUAGCCGUAGAAGCCGCCAACACUGCAAAAUUGUGAAAAAGGGAUUCCCAGGCUUGGUUGCAGAAGAACUUGUCAAUGUUGACAAGGGUGGGAUCUUGACGUUCGUUGCUCCAGGUGUAGCGGCGAUUUUUGCACUUUAUCUCCUUCAGGCCAGCAGCAUCAAUGGCCGACCUGAACCAACCCAUAAGUCUACGGUUAAGGUUGAGGUUGUUCUUGUCACGCGCCUCGUAAAUUAGGUUAAAGUCGCCAUUGAUCAACCAGGGCUCGUUUGUGGGCGGUGAAGUGCGGGUGAGCUCGAGGAUGAAACUAUCUUUUCUUGCGUCGUCUGCAGGUCCGUAGACGGAGGAGAGCCAGAAGCUAUGAGGCUGGCCCAGCAGGGAUACUUUUGCUGUGAUGGCGAAGGCGCCAAUGGCAUGGGAAGUGACAGUGGCGAGGCCCUCGUCCCAGAGAAUUGCCGCUCCACCGCUGGUGCCAAUCGCCGGCAGGGCAAUGCAGCCAGUCAGCGAGGUGCCGCCAAUUUCUCGUACUAGGCUAGGAGACCAGGCAUCGAUCUUCGUUUCUUGCAGUCACAGGAUCGCUAUUCGAUUUGCUGCUGCAAUUUCGCGGACAGAGGCGCGCUUUGCAGGGUGGUUCAGCCCGCGCACGUUCCAGCACAUGAUCGGAGGGAGUUUGUCAUUCAUGGGGAAACUCGUGUUGCUCCGAUAACAGAAAAUCACUAAAUGGCCUCAGGCCCAAACAGCACACCGCCUCUCUAGCAAGGGAACACCAGCGACCACCAAUAGGCCCCAGAACACACCGGCGUCGAACUAACCACAUUGGACUAGCACUACAUAUUGGAAGCAAACCUAACUCUAGCCAACACAUCGUCGGCCGCCAUCGGAGCGAGAACAUGAAUGGAACUAACAUAACUAAACUACGGCCUCCUCAGCAGCUCCAUCAGGCCCGGCCAUGCCAGCCGCGAUCUUCAGGGCGUCGGCGUCCAGCCGCGUCAGUUUGGCAAUGACCGCAAUGUCAGCCUCGGUGAGUGGCUCAUCAAAACAACGCAGGAGGGCCUCGGCAACUUCGGUCGUCAUCUUCUCCUUUGGCCCCAGCAGUCCCAGCUCCUUGACGAUGCGGAGGGACGCGCGCUGGGCCACCGGCACGUUGGAGGGGUUGGCAGCCUGACGGGCGCUGUGGCGAGAUGGUGCUGUGGGGGCGCGGCUCUUUGGGGGGGCAGAGGGCCGACGGGCAGACGGGGCAGCCACCAGCAAAGGGGUGUUGCUGCGGAAGAGGCGUCGCGGCUGAACUUGUUCUCCUUCUUCAGCGAUCUCAAGCUGGCAAACGCGGCUGGUCAUCGCUCCCAGCUACACUUCCAGUGUACAGGUGGCCGUGGGGGUGGAGCGGUUGAACUGGCCAUUAGCAAAGGGGGUGACCGCCAGCGUAGGGCUGAACGCGUCGAGCUGCGGGUCCAGGGCUGCAUCGUCGCGUAGAUGGGUGCCGCAAUCUCCAAUCCACCUCACCGUUGUCAGCAAGUGGAACCACUAUGCAGCCACUGUGUUUAGGUAAUUAGGAAAAAAAGAAUAUAUAUGAUUUAAACAUGCUGACCGCCGUCACGAUGGCCUUGCUUGGGUCGACUGUUCUCGCCUGGCUGGCCAUAUGUGACACUUUGCGUCCUCUAUGCCCUGCGGCUUGCUAUGUACUCUCUCCUUCCAUAUAUCUCUUUUGCUCCUUGUAAUACCCCCUGACCAUCCUGGCAAUUUGGGCAUUUUUAAAUUCAAAAGGUUAUAUUGGACUUACAAUGGGAUCACCAAUCGGAAAAUUAUGAUUUACUCAACUACUGAUUCAACAUCACUCGGCAACAUAAUGGGUGUGGCAGGCGAAAAAAUAUAACAACCUGAAUUGUAAUGGACAAAGGAUCUAGCUGGCAACGUUAAGUGGGCACAAGGACAACUGAAUCUUCAGAAUUAGUGAUUGCAGCAAUAUAACAUGACACAGGAAACAAUAAUCAACCUGACUCUGCUUCCUAGUUUGAUUUCAACAAAGUAUUACGAAGAGUCAUGUUAAAUUGAAUUUUGAACUAUACCAUAUGAAAAGCCGACCAAGGCUAAUUGCCCAUCUUGUAGUUUCAUGUAAAAUUUAUACAGAAAGUUCAUCAAAAAAUUUGGUGCCCAUUUUUCUGGCAAAAUUGAUCAAAUAGAAAGAAGGCAAGCUAACUACUAUAGGUCGAUCAAAAGCUUACACACCAUGUUUCAAGAAAACACAGAAAUAAUCCAAUUGAGUAACAUCAAACAAAUGAAAGCUUGCAGCCGAGCAUAUAACUAAAACAUGUAACAAAAGGGAAAGCGUUUUGUAAAGAAUGCACGUAACCUAUUUAAUUGUAUUCCUUCUACUCUUACAUCCAAACAUUGCACAAUCCGUGUGGAAAGAACUGAUAAUAAAUUCAUACAUGACAUGCUACGUGUAAGCUAUAUAUGAAACAAGAUCAAGAUUCAAAAAGGUAUAUGUUAGAUUUGUAAGAAACUGUCCACCUUUAAUUAUAAUUCAGAAAAUACUUGAUUCAAGUGACUACCUUGAUUGAAGAACUAACUGGUUACAGAUUUAACAACUGCCACUCCUAUCCACUCUUGCUUCCCUUGAGUUUUGACAUAGACAACAUCCAUCUUACAAACAAGAAAUAGCUUUAUAAGGAUGUAACCAUUAGGAUAAAAAACUUGCAGAUCAAAUUCUAUAGACCUUUAAAAAAAUCUUCGCAGACAACAUGGGCGCAGCUCUCUAUCUAAAACCAUUCUUAGAGAACAGAAAAAAGAACAUUUGCAACAUUAACAUCUGAGCAAUCGAAAAGGAUGUCUCUAUGUUACAGUGCAUGCCAUAUUUCUCAUGCACUAUUUUUAUUCAGAUUUCUUACUUGUUGUUAUUAAUACGUCAUUAUUCUGAAUUCCUACUUAGUGUUAUUAAUUUACUAAAGAUAACAUGAAACUCAUGUACACACUCUCUAGCUAUAAGAAUAACUAAUGCAAUAAGACACUGAUCGGGGCAUACCAAUAUUUAAGUCUUGUCAGACCACAAUAAGAGAACAAUCAGUCACAUAUUGAUACUUGGUUUCAGUAAUAAGAAGGAUCACAAGUUUGACAUAAAAAAUGAAGUCCAUUUAGUUACUGGAGUUACAAAUUCAAGGUGAUGCCUUAACUUGCCGUUGGCUUCGAGGUUGUGACCUCCCCUCCCCUUCUUGGUUAUUCCUUUCCCCCCUCUCCGUUUCAUUGAGCUCAUCCCCACUUUUAUUUUCCUCUUCAUCAUCCUGCAGCAAAACAACAAAGUUUGAGAUGCAUCAGACUUUCACAAAUCACAAUGUAACUCUGGAACUUCAUAUAAUAUUUCUAAUUUCCAUGUAGUAGAGUCCAACCUAUAUACGGAUAUAAUUAGGAUUUGCAUAAUUACUUUCUUCCAUGCAGUACAGUCGGGCAUCUUAGAUCAAACGUCUGCAAGUUUUGCAACAUCAAUAUUGUGGAUCUGCACAAGUAGCAGUAGUAGUGCCCACACCUGCUAAUUUGAGGAAGCAAGAACCUCAUUGUAGGACGGACAGAAGGAAUCUCAGCAAAGUAGUAGUGUAGUAUUUACAUGCAGACCAUCGCAUCGGCGGCGUCGGGUGCAGGAACUCUUCUAUAGGUGGCGUGUUGGAACACAACUAUCUCCACGUCCUCCACACCACCCGCACGCCCGGGUCCUGCGCCCACGACUGGCUCGUCCCGCACGUAGCUCACGUCUCCUCAGGACUAGCUAGAUCAAUUGCAACCUUAUCCUGCCGUUGCACUCCAUGUAUAUAUAUGUGUAACCUGUGAAGUCAUAAUACACACACAGAGUUUGAUCCUCCAACUUGGUAUCAGACGCGAGUUCUCCCUGAGACCUCACCAUGUCCACCUCGGCGCCCACCCUUCCCGUCGCCAUCAGCGCCGCGCCUCCUCCGCCGGGCACCACGGCGCCCCUCCCCGUCGCCACGGCACCAUUGCCGACCACCACGGCGCCCCAGCACCUGCUGCCACGGUGUCCCUCCCUGUGGCCACGGCGCCCCCUGCACCGGCGCCGCUCGCGGUCACCCUCCCGCUCACGGGUCCUCUGUCGGCCGGCGCCUCGUCUUCCUCCGGCAUCCCCAACAUGCACCAGCUCAACAUCGGCCACUUCCUCGACUUCAAGCUGGACUUCGCCGCAGGUAACUUCUCCAAAUGGCGGCAGAUCUUCCGGUGCGUGCUCUCCAUGUACGAUGCAGAGGGGCACGUCGACCACUUCUCCGAGCCUCUCCAGCAGACCGUGGCAUGGCGCCACGCCGACGUCACCAUCCUGCUCUGGAUCUACGGGUCCAUCUCCGACGACCUCUACGACGUCAUCAAGUCGCCGGACAACACGGCACACCGCGCUUGGAGCCAGCUGACUCACUUCUUCCACGACAAUCAGCCGGCCCGCGCGAUCCACAUCGGGGCCGAGUUCCGCUCCCUCACCCAAGGCGACCUCCGCGUCGGCGAGUACUGCCGUCGCCUGAAGGCCCUCGCUGACGCCCUCGCUGAUGUGGACGAACCGGUCACCGACCGGUCUCUCACUCUGCAGCUCAUCCGUGGGCUCUCGCGCCGCUUCCACGUCCUCGCCUCGGUGCUCCCUCUCCAGGUACCGUUCCCCACGUUUAUCCAGGCGCGCUCACGCCUCCUUCUCGAGGAGAUCUCCCUCGACGCUCGUGAUCGCACCGAGGGGGCCACCACCCUCACCAUCAGCACCAACGUCGGCGGUCUCCCUCCGGCAACUCCCCUGGCGAUCGCGGCCACCCCGGCUCCGGCGAUCGCGCUCGGCCUACCGGCGAGGGCAACCCCGGCCGCGGCGGCUCCUCUGAUCGCGCCCGUGGCACAGGCCGUGGACGUGGUCGCGGCAACGGCUCCAGCGGUGGCGGCCGCCACACACAGCAGCAGCCGUUCACCGGUGGGCAGACACCGUGGAUGGGAUACUUCGCACCCUGGGGCGCGCCUUUUCCUCCUCCUUGGCGUGCUCCAUGGGUGCCCCCGCACGCCGCCGGCAUCCUCGGGCCACGACCCGCCACCCCGGCGCAGGCGUACCCGGUCUUCUACCCCGGCGCACCGUCCUCCUCUCACGCGCCACCGCCACCGUCGCCUGCUCCUGGCUCGUGGGACAACUUCAGCAUGCUCAACUCCGCGAUGAGCAACAUGUCCCUGCAGCAGCCCGGCGCCGCCGACUGGUACCUGGACUCCGGUGCCUCCUCGCACAUCUCCGGGAACGCAGGUAUACUCACUCGGCUUUAUGAUGUUUCAGCUCAUCAUCUUCCUCACAUUAUAGUUGGCAACGGCACCAUCAUGACUCCCUCCUCCCUCGGCUAUGCCUCUCUCCCUCCCAAGCCCUUUCAUCUAAACCACGUCUUAGUUUCUGCCAAUGUAGUCAAAAACCUAAUCUCUGUUCGUAAAUUCACCACUGAUAACUCAUGCUCAAUUGAAUUUGACCCUUACGGUUUUUCUGUGAAGGACCUGCUCACUCGGAGGCUCAUCCUGAGGUCCAAUAGCUCCGGCCCGCUCUACCCGUUCCUAGGCUCCGGCGCCACCGCCUUCACCAGCACCACCGACGGCGAUCUCUGGCACCGCCGCCUCGGUCACCCGAGCCGGGCUACUCAAGCCCAUUGCAGUCUUUUAUUUCCCCUUCAUGUAAUAAAGUGCCCGCACCAUCUCCUACAUGUGAUGCAUGCCAACGAGGGCGCCACACUAGAUUACCUUUUUCCGAAUCAACUUCCUUUACUAGUUUCCCAUUUCAGUUAAUCCACUGCGACCUUUGGACGUCGCAUGUAUCCAGUUUUUCUGGCUUGAAAUAUUAUCUCAUAACAAUGGAUGACUACACCCAUUUCUCCUGGUCUUUCCCUCUCCGCAACAAGUCUGAAACAGCCUCUGUGCUUGUACGUUUUUGCCGUUACAUUCUUACGCAGUACCACUCCCUUGUCCAUUGCAUUCAAAGCGACAAUGGGGGCGAGUUCGUUAACACAGCCCUUCUCACCUUCCUCUCCGACCGCGGCAUUGUCCUCCGUCUCUCAUGUCCACACACUUCCCCGCAAAACGGGAAGGCCGAACGUGCCAUUCGCUCCACUAACGACAUUCUUCGCACCCUCCUUGCCCAGGCUCACAUGCCACCACCAUAUUGGGUCGAAGCUCUCCACACGGCUACCCAUCUUCUCAACCGACGUCCCUCUCGCGUAGUUCACCACCUCACACCUUUCUUCCUCCUCCACGGCAUUCACCCUAGCUACACCGACCUACACACCUUUGGGUGCCUCUGCUACCCUAACCUAGCACCAUACGCCGCCCACAAACUCUCACCCCGAUCCACCCCGUGUGUUCUCCUUGGUAGCCCUCCCGAGCAUAAAGGCUAUCGCUGCCUCGACCUUCGCACUCGGCAUGUUUACACGUCCCAGCACGUCACGUUUGAUGAAACUACGUUCCCCUUCCAAUCUACGCUUUCCGCACCCGACCCCCCCACAGAAAAUCCCAACCCCCGACAACCUCGUCCGCCGCCUUUCCAUGCCUCGGGAUCGCCCCCACCUACCUCGUUUCCCACCUCCUCCCGAUCCUCCUCGGAUCACGCGCCCAACCACAACAACCCACCGGUCUCCCCCGCACCAGCCGCGUCCCAUCAUCCCACCGGCCCGCCCCCUGCGCCAGCUCUGGGGACCCCACCCUCACAUGUCGCGCCCACCUCGCCCCCUUUCCUUCCGCCACGCGGCUCCACCCUACGCGUUGUGCCCCACGACCGCAUGCAACCAUCCCCUCGCUGCCUUUUUCCCACGACCAGCACCGCGCCAUGCAACACCGCGCCAUGCAGCGCUUCGCUCCCACCGCGCGCCGUCGCCAUCGCGCCCCCACAAAAUCCCCAUCCCAUGCGCACGCGCGGCAAAUCUGGUUUUGCCCUUCCUAAAACCCAAACUAAUCUCCAUGUAGAUGUCCUCUCCCCCAUCCCCCCAACCUACCGCACUGCCCUAAAAGACCCCCGCUGGUAUGCCGCUAUGCGUGGAGAAUAUGAUGCACUGAUUCAUAAUAAAACCUGGUGUUUAGUGCCGCGUCCUGCAGGUGUGAACGUCGUCAGCGGCAAAUGGAUCUACAGGCACAAAUUCAACGCCGACGGCUCCCUGGCACGCCACAAGGCUCGCUGGGUCCUGCGCGGGUUCACCCAGCGCGAGGGCGUCGACUACACCGAGACCUUCAGUCCCGUCGUCAAGCCAUCUACCAUACGGGUCGUCCUCAGCCUCGUCGUCACCAGCUCGUGGCCAAUCCACCAGCUGGACGUGAAGAACGCCUUUCUUCACGGCCGGCUCGACGAGGUCGUCUACAGCGAGCAGCCUCCCGGCUUCAUCGACGCCGAUCGCCCGGACCAUGUCUGCCAUCUCCAACGCUCCUUGUACGGCCUGAAACAGGCCCCACGCGCCUGGUUCUCGCGGUUCACGGCGCACCUCAUCGCCCUCGGCUUCGUCGCUUCCCGCAGCGACAGCUCGCUGUUCAUCCUCCACCGUGACGGCUCCAUGGCGUAUCUGCUCUUAUACAUCGACGACAUCAUCCUCACCGCCAGCAGCCACGCCCUCCUUCGUCACGUCAUCGACUCUCUGCACCAAGCCUUCGCCAUGACAGACCUCGGCGAGCUGCAUCACUUCCUCGGCGUCAACGUACAGCGCUCUGCUUCCGGCCUCUUCCUCUCGCAGCAGCAGUACGCGCUCGAGGUCAUUGAUCGGGCGGGCAUGCUCACCUGCAAGCCGAUCAGCACGCCCCUCGACGCUCGCACCAAGCUGUCUGCCUCCGAGGGCGCGCCCGUCGUCGAUCCUACCUUGUACCGGAGCCUCGCCGGCGCGCUCCAGUACCUCACCCUGACGAGGCCGGACAUCACUCAUGCGGUGCAACAGGCCUGCCUCUUCAUGCACGAUCCACGCGAGCCGCAUCUCUAGCUCGUCAAGCGGAUCCUGCGGUACGUGCAUGGCACCUCCCACCUCGGUCUGCGCAUCCACAGCUCUGCCCCGACACACGACCUCGUCGCCUACUCCGGCGCCGACUGGGCCGGGUGCCCGGACACCCGCCGCUCGACAUCCGGGUUCUGGGUCUUCAUCGGGCCCAACCUCGUCUCUUGGUCCUCGAAGCGCCAGAACACGGUGUCCCGGUCCAGUGCAGAGGCCGAGUACCGCGCGGUCGCCAACGUCGUCGCCGAAUCGUGCUGGCUUCGCCAACUCCUCACGGAGCUCCGCCGACCGCCACGCCGUGCCACCGUUGUCUUCUGUGACAACGUGAGUGCCGUGUAUCUCUCCAGCAACCCGGUGCAGCAUCAGCGCACAAAGCACGUGGAAAUCGACCUGCACUUCGUCCGCGAAUGGGUCAGCAUUGGCGACGUCAAGGUUCUGCACGUUCCCACUUCAUCCCAGUUCGCGGAUAUCUUCACUAAGGGACUGCCAACGGCCNNNNNNNNNNNNNNNNNNNNNNNNNNNNNNNNNNNNNNNNNNNNNNNNNNNNNNNNNNNNNNNNNNNNNNNNNNNNNNNNNNNNNNNNNNNNNNNNNNNNNNNNNNNNNNNNNNNNNNNNNNNNNNNNNNNNNNNNNNNNNNNNNNNNNNNNNNNNNNNNNNNNNNNNNNNNNNNNNNNNNNNNNNNNNNNNNNNNNNNNNNNNNNNNNNNNNNNNNNNNNNNNNNNNNNNNNNNNNNNNNNNNNNNCCACGCCACCCGCACGCCCGGGUCCUGCGCCCACGACUGGCUCGUCCCGCACGUAGCUCACGUCUCCUCAGGACUAGCUAGAUCAGUUGCAACCUUAUCCUGCCGUUGCACUCCAUGUAUAUAUAUGUGUAACCUGUGAAGUCAUAAUACACACACAGAGUUUGAUCCUCCAACUUGGCGCAGAGGAAGAACAAAACUGCUAAGGGAGGAGCUUCUACGUUGUCGCGGUGUGGUGGAGUCUUUGUUGCCGGCCGUGUGGAGGACGGAGGAGUCGCCGUCGGCCGCGUGAGGGACGGGCACCGAGCGCCACAGGAGAGGUGGCUGGGCAGCCGUCGACGGUGAGGCGCGAUGGAGGCGGACGAGAAGCAUGGCCGCAAGGGGCUGUCGGUGAGGAUUGGCGCCGUAGAGCAGGGCCGUGUGGACUGGGGAUCAUCACUGGCGAGUAGAAUCACAUGUGUGCAUGGAGGGCGACUGCUUAUGAUGGGUUCGUCUGCCAUGGUGAGGGAACUGAGGGAGGCGGUUUGCUUCACGGGGAGGGGAGCCAGCUUGUUUUUGGUUUUAGCCCAACCGAUCGUGUGUGCGUGCAGGUUCUUUGAAGGCUACAAACGUGGAGUGGCAUGGUGGGUAAUUAGAACUUAAAACUCGUUUAGUAUGAUGAAGCAACGUAGACCAUCAGAUCACAUGACUUGAUGGAUGAGAUGAAUUGGUUCUCCGACCUUUCGUGCUUUUAUAGGGGUAGUAGAUAGAUUAAAAAGUUAAACUCUAAAUUAUGUGCCAUAGGACACUUGUGCUCACUCACGGGUGCAACUUGUAUGCGUACAACUUUUAAGAAAAGAAGCGCCUCAGCAACUAUGAAAAGAUGAUACGCAAAUGCCAACCGGAAGCAUCAGAAUCAAGCAACCAUAAACAAAACAAUAAAUUUCUAUGGUUUGCUAGGGCGCUUGUCCUCCACGGUUUAUCAGGUAACUACAGUCAAAACUUCGUCUGUGGAGAUCCAUGUCAAAAUAUUCAAGCGUCUCUUGCAGAACGACAAAGCUGGGGAAGAAUACCUUUAGAUGAGGCCGAUGACGGAAGGGAGCAAACUUGUGCGGAUCUCGAACCAGCAGGGAACUGAGAUAAAGCUUUUGGAACGUCCACUCAUCUCUGCAUUGAUGAGAGAUUCAGGAUUAAAUCUGAUUGCAUUAUAUUUGUUAGGUGAUUUUGCUUCUGGUUUGGCAGCAUUUGUCAUGAGGUUUAUCUUCAACACAAGUUGUUUUUUAUUGUGAAAACCAGAAAAUCCCCAAAAUGCAUCUGAACAUUGUUGAGAUGAUAAAACAGUAUGUAGUGUUUGUUUUUAUGAUCGUCAAGAUGCAUGUGGAUGAAGGUAAAACCAUGGGGAAGUUAAGAAAUCAGUAGAAGCAUACAACUGAACAUAAAUACUUGUGGAAGUGAAGAAAUCAGUACAAGCCUAUAACAAACAAUUUAGUGAUGCCCAAGUUGUCUAUAUGACGGUUUGUUAGAGUUGGAUGUUGCACGACACUUUUUCAAGUUGAACAGGGAAAGUUCAAAAUAAACACAAAGGAAAGCUCACGUGUUCAUAGGGAUUUCUUCUUGUUUGAUGUAGUCAUAGCAUUAGUGGACCAUAUUCUCGGAAAAGUCCAAAGCAAUCACAGCUGAGUAUGCCCGAGAGCUUGCAAAUUUCCUUGAAAACAAACCACUGGCACAGCUAUAACAUCAACGAGUAUACCGCCAGCCACUGGUUGGAAAUAAUAUUGAGCUAUAUUUUUUUUCUUUCGAAAAGGGGGGUAUGCCCCAUACGGCCAAUAUUAUUAAUAGGCAAAAUAUAUCCAACAUAAGUCUCCAAGUCUCGAACAAUGAAGUGAUAAAGCCAACAGCAGACCAAUAUUAUAUGCAUAUUAAUACGAAUAUUUUCUUGGCAUGAAAAAAUGGAGACAGCCUUUUGUUGCAGCACCAAAUACUUGGCUGCGACAGAUUUACGACUUAAUAUAAAUAGUUUCUCACUGAGCAGUAACAGCUUAAUGCCAUGGAAUUCAAGAAUGAGGCGGCCAAGAAAUGUGCCUCUUCAUCACGGCCCGGGAAGCCGCUCCGAUUGAUGUUCAGACGCCACCCCCUCUCAUAAAGAAAGGAGAUGAGCGGGCUCCUGAGCAGCUCAGUUCUAGCAGGCUUCUGUUCACUGUAUGCUUUCAUUCCUGAUUAGGUGACAGUGAGAUCCAAGAAGACAUCUUUGCUGGUGAAUGACUUGUUGCAUUUUGAACACUUGAAUCCGGACCUAUAAAUCGCUGGCCUGGGAAACGCGUAGAAGCCAAAAGAACAUAAAUCCUAAUCCAACAUCUAGAUUUGCAUGAGAGAUGAAGAUGAUUCAGGGGACUUCAGACAUCCAGGUUCAUGCCUGGCAGCCCUUUCCUUAUCAGCGGUUCAUAGCAAACAGGGCAUGCAAACACCUCGGUUUUGAAGCGUCAUUCAGCUUGGUUUUGAUCUCCUGAAACUGUUCGCACAGUGAGCGUCAGUUUCACACGAGUAAAUUGUACAAAACCAUCACUUUGAAGACUAGAUUUGCGAAAAACACUAAAAAAAUUUCAAAAACACCACGUCUACGGUAAUCUUUUUGCAAAAAACACUGAUCAGCGGAUCAGGCUCAGUUAAGUGAGUUUAUGACAGGUGGGCUCCAUUUUUUGCCUACGUGGCGUGAAUUUUACACAUGCACCCCUCUCUUCUUCUCCAUCUCUCUCCCCUCUCUGUAAAAAUUAAACCGCCGCCGCCUACCGCCGGCACUCCCUGCCGCCCACCACCGCGGCCCGGGAUCCCGCCGCGCCACCACAGGUUCACCGGCUCCACCGCCGCGCCCCACACUGGAUCCGGCGACAUCCGCUUCCACCUCCGCACCCCACGGCAGAUCCGGUGACAUCCAAUUCGACCUGCAGCCGGAGCGCAAGGCGCACCCGGAGCCUCAACCUGCAGCCGGAGUGCAAGGCGCAGCCCUGCAGCCGGUGCCCAAGGCCCUUCGGCGGCGGCGGCACCAGCCAUACCUAGUUCCCUGGCCGCCAGCGUGGCCCUUCGCGGGCGCCCCGACGACGGCGACAACACCUUGACGUGCCCCAUGACGGCACCUUUGACCGUGACCUGGUUCCCCGGCUGCCCACGCGGCCCUUCGGCGGGCGCCCCGACUACGGCGACAGCGGGGCAACGUGCACAUGCUGGAGCUCAUCCUGGUCGCCCCGAGAUCCAAAUCGGGCUCGCCCCAAUCUAUCCAAAUCGAGCUCGCCCCAGCACCAAUUAGAGAAAGAGGAGGUGCUAGACCUCGCCGCCGGCGAGGUCCAUGAGCCGCCCCAAGCCUCCAUGGGCGCCGCCCCGGCCAGCGACGAGAGCCCAUGGCCGCCGUGCUACUGGUUUUAUGCACGUGGGGGGCUGAUUGUGAUUUUGCAUUUUGAUUCAGGGGUGUAUACAUAAAUUUCUAGGGACUACUUUGUGAAUUUAGAUUAAAACCCAUUGGCACGAAAUGUGAUGCCACAUAAGCAAAAAACGUGACCCACCUGUCAUAAACAUGCUCAAACGAGCCUAAUCCGCCGAUCAGUGUUAUUUGCAAAAAGAUUUACCGUAGACACGGUAUUUUCUGUAAAAAAAAUGUAUUGUAAUGUUUUUCGCAAACCUAACCUUCAAAGUGAUGGUUUUGUGCAAUUUACUCGUUUCACACAGUAUCAGUAAAGUCCAACCUUGGCAUAACAUCAAACGCUUACGCUUAACGCGACUGUAAACAGGCUGUUUCUUUUCCGAAGCAUGCAUGAUCGCUUGCUAGCAAGAUUAGCUCUUCAGAGUUAAAUACUGGAAGCUAGAUUGCAGAGACCACUCAUCCUAUGCAUGUAAGGCAACAGAAAUACAGAUAUUAGCAGCCAUAAGUAUAUCCAUUUAGCUUAGUCACUAAUCUAGCAUGUGAGGUUCAAUCUUUGCAUCUGGUGGCCAAAUAUCGCAGUGCAGGCCAUGACUCACGCAUCAUCUCCCCAAACUGAAAAUACUGCUAAACUUACGCCUAGCUCUCGAUCGAUUACUCUACUAAAUACUCCCCAGUGAUGUAAACGAUCUUAUAUUUCUUUAGAGAGGGAGUACAAUUACAUGAAUACCGGAACAUGAUUUACUGUAAAGGAUAUGGGUGUCAUGGGCGCGCCAGUGAGCUCCCCGGGUAUGUCGUGGGAGGUGUGGAGGGCCGUCAGCGCCGUGCGCGGGGAGGCGUGGAGGGCCAGCGCGGAGACGCGUGAGGCUGCGGCCGGGUGCGGCAGGGCUCUGGCGGAGGAGCAGCGGCGGCCAGGCGCGGUGGUGCGCUGGCGAAGGAGCAAGGGCCGCCGGGUGCGGAGGCGCACUGCCAGGGAGCGGGUGCGGAGAGGCGCCGGGCCGGGGCACCAUCGUCAAGCUUCGGACGCGGAUUUUUCGAACACCUGCGCCGGGGCCGCGCUAUCCUAGCGGUCGACUCGUCGCUAUUUACCUCGAGAUGUCCGACGAGGAAUACCGAUUUAGCUUAUGUAUUACCGUGGCAGGCGUCUGUCACCGUCCCCUCUUCGUAGGGUAACAGCACCACGGGUAAACUCUGCACUUUUUUGUCUUCCACCUCCCUCCUGCGUACCGACGAGGACCCGUGACUAUAUCUCAAUUAUCUGCCCACACAACGCCUUGCUCUGUACUUUGACUUGUCUCUCUAAUGGAUUGGGUGCAAGGAGGGGAAUCAAUAGCGCCGGCGCUCGCCACACCGCGAACCUCUCCGGCGGACGGCCAUGGGUAGGUAUCGAGUCUGCAUACUGCCAAUCUACUCUCAGCUCUCGUCAGGGACGUGCCUUAUUCGUUUUUGUCUUUCUCAUUGAGAUUCUGAAUCCCCUUUUCCUUCUUGAUUCUGUGCCGGACCUGCAUGAUGUCUGCUUACAGAUGAACACCUGAAAGCUAUUACUGCCCCAACCCCGUUCCCAAUCUGUCCUGGAGCGCAUAGAUAUCCAUGAAAAAUCAGCAUCCUGAUAUGCGCCCCAAUUACAAAAUACAUCCCGACAACAAAAUAAACCAUGCGCAUGUGUGAAAUCAGGUAUUUACCUGUGAAGUUUCUCUUACAAUGGCCGGCGGGGCGAGAUCUCAGUGGCGGCGGUGUCCGCUCCGACCCGGCGCUGGAUUUCCCCGGCGGCCCGCUCGUCUCGGUGCCUCCUCUUGUACGAGAAACUCCUGCCUCCCGCCCUCGAUUGGGUUCUCGCAGCGAUCUGCCUCUGCUNNNNNNNNNNNNNNNNNNNNNNNNNNNNNNNNNNNNNNNNNNNNNNNNNNNNNNNNNNNNNNNNNNNNNNNNNNNNNNNNNNNNNNNNNNNNNNNNNNNNNNNNNNNNNNNNNNNNNNNNNNNNNNNNNNNNNNNNNNNNNNNNNNNNNNNNNNNNNNNNNNNNNNNNNNNNNNNNNNNNNNNNNNNNNNNNNNNNNNNNNNNNNNNNNNNNNNNNNNNNNNNNNNNNNNNNNNNNNNNNNNNNNNNNNNNNNNNNNNNNNNNNNNNNNNNNNNNNNNNNNNNNNNNNNNNNNNNNNNNNGUGCCCCUACGCUACAUAGUAGGCAGAUCAGGGAGGAAGGAGCUACAAAACCAGACGAUAUAACCGUGGCCUGCCCUUCUUACGGUAGCUUCCGACACAUAUCCCGAGGUAUUUCGACGCACCAGAUAAGCGGGCCGGGAUGCAUAUGCUCAAAAAUAUAUUUUCGGUCAAGCUUCUACCCUUCGAUCUCUCUCUUCUGGUGGAUGCAAUGAAAGGGACGGCAACCCCUCGUCUAGAUCCACCAUUGCCGUCUCGCUCUCUCUCUUCCACGGCCAACUUGAGGAACGGGGUCGGGGCAACCCCUCGUAGUUUAGAUCGAACGCGGUCGGCGCGUGGAUGGCACGGAGGUCCGGGCGGCGCGGAUGCGGACGGCGCGACGGCGCGGCGGCGCAUGGACGGCAUGGCUGUCCAGCGGCGCUUGUGGAGAGGCACAUGUGGAGGUUGUCCAGCGGCGCUUGUGGAGAGGCACAUGUGGAGGUUGUCCAGCGGCGGUCGAGGCGAUGACUGGCGAGGAGGUUGUAGGGAAGAGGUGGGGCGAUGUCCCGACGGCGUGGUAGCCAGACAGCAGCGACUUGUUCGGGACGAUGUUAACCCAAUGGCACAGUGGGUAAUUAAUUAAGGCAAUGGCAUGGUGGGUAAUUAAAGCAUAAACACGUUUAGUAUACUGGAGGGAUGUAGACCAUCAGAUUGCAUGUUUCAAUGGAUAGGAUGGUCUGGUUCUCCGCUCUCUCUUGCUUUUAUAGGAAGGCAUCCCGAACACGACAUGGGGAGGCCGACCUUGUCGGGAAGCAACAACCUCAUUAUGUAUUUUUGGAGGAAGCAACAGCCUCAUUAAGCAUCAGCCUCAUUAUCUCUUAGGGGUGCGGGUGCAGGGUGCCGCCCGAGUUGUUCACCGGUGGUGCGGCUUAGAGGGGCGGUUGGGGUGGCGGCCAUCAAGACAGUGGGGGAGGUCGAGGGGAGGGCAAGGUGGCAAUAGUUGGCGAUACUUGCAAUCACGUGUAGUUGAAAACAUGAAGUUGUGGUACUUGGCGACACUUGCGGUUGCGUGUCUAGUGGCAGACAUGCAACUGCCCACAUUUAAAAUAUUUUUCUGAUGGAGAGCCCACUCUUGCGGUCAUUUUUUGCGGGAUAUGACAUUUGCAGUCGCCGUGUAAUUUUUUUUUUGAAAGAUAAGCCAUGUCUUAGGCACAAAAGGCUCGUGUAAAUUGCCUGAAGAUGGCACAUGUAUGCAUUGCAAAAACGAAAAAAGACCAAUGCAUGAAAAAGAUGGAAACUAGAAAUACAAAUAAAAGUAGAACCUACAAAAAUGAUAAACUAAUUAUAUUGAAUAACUUUUUAAAAAAGAGUUUCACACGGAUGAUGAACAUCCAACUGCGCAUAACCAACGAAUGUGCAACUAUAGUUAUGUGCAAGAGAAUUACAUUAAUAUUCGUGUAAUAUUAAAAGUUUUAUAUUCUUAUAACAUGUAAUCUUGGAAGAAAAAAUAUUUACAAAAAAUUAAUUUUAAAAUUAUUCAUGUAUUUAAAAGGUCCGUCAAAAAGAAGAAAUGGGAAAGAAAAUAAUAAAAACAAAAACAUAGCAACACGUGAAAAGAAAUGGAGGAAACCUUUUUGUCUCCCCUAAAACACAAUAACAUAGAAAAUAAAAAAUUAAAGGCUAAGUUCACAACUAGCAUUCGCCGCUGCAUCAUAAAAAAUGAAAAAUUGAAAUGAAAAAAAGAACUACAAGUCACAGGAGGCCCCAUACUGAAAAAGGCCCCUGGCCCGCUAACAAAAAAGAGUCCGAACAACCAAAAGAAGAAAAAAAGAAGAAACGGGCUGGACGUGCCUUAAGAGGCCAAAAUGAGACAAGCCCACUAUCAACGCGAAUCUUGAAGAAGCAAUAACGAUCACACGGUUGACGUGUGGAGACCUCGCAAAGUCUUAGCCAACUGAGAUUUAGUAGGGCCAUUGAAAGAAUUAUUCGUAUAGUAAGUUUCCUAAUUACGUCGUAUGAGGAGAAAUAGAAGAUGGAUGGAGGAGAGACCCAUUGACAUGUGGUGGAGGGAGAUGCGACCAUUGAGAUGUGGGCCCCACAUGUCAGAUGUAUGUGGUGCAUCCGUUGCAACACCUUCCCUAAUAAUUCAAACAAUGUUAGUCGGACAGUAACACCCUAUCAGAAAAGUGUCAAAAACGUUUUUAUAUUUUGAGAUGGAUGGAGUAGUUAUUGAGCGUAUGUCGGAGAUGCUCUAAGACCCAUGGUAAUCCAUCCCAAUGGAAUAUUAUCUAUGUGAGGACUGACGGGAUCAAACAAUUUGGUGUUUGAUGUCACAAAUCUUUCAGAACAAGACCAGAUUAGAUGCCAACUCCCCAACUAGUGUUGUUAUUAAUCUCAAGAUGAUAAGACGAGAAGAAAAAGGGUAUGAGACUUUACAUCAGAAUAGUACUCCCUUCGUUCACAAAUACAAAAUAUUUUGGAUAUUUCAAUUUAAACUACAUACAGAUUGAAAUGAAUGGACAAACACAUUAAAAUGUGCCCUCGUAAAAAAAUAUUAAAAUAUGUUUAUAUACAUUUGAUCUAGAAAAAAAGUUAGAACAUCUUAUAUUUGUGAACGGGAGUACUAUUUUAAACUUAGUUCAUGUCUCCAUAUCCAUAAAAAAGUGCACGUCUGCAAGUCCAAACAAAUGGGGUGAAUGCCAUGUGUAGAUGCCAUGAAUCCAACCCACUGAGAACAAUUUUCUUCGCGAACUGUGGUAUCCCCACCCUACCAGGGUUCAAGUCCUGGUGCUCGCAUUUAUUUCUGGAUUUAUUUCAGGAUUUUCGGCGAUGCGCAUUUCGUGGGAGGAGACGUUUCCAUCGAUGACGAGGUGGCUACAAUGACUUCGUAAAUUUCAAGAUGAUAUGCCGGCUCAAUCUUUCGGAGGUGCUCAUAGUGAUAGGGUGUGCAUAUGUGCGUUCAUAGGGGUGUACCGUGUUAAAAACACAAUUUUCUUCUCCGAUAACAAGUUCACCCUCGGAAGUCGGAACUCGCCGAGAACAUGACAAGUUCAUUUUCCACACAAUAUGCUAGGCACGUCACCACAUGAGUUUCUUAUAUCUAAGCAGUAGUUAUUCUAGGCACCACAAGUUCGCAACACAAAUCAUCCAUAACUGAACCAGAGAUACGAAGCUAGAUCGUACUUGUAACUCUAACAAUGAUCGAUGCUCCGGCGCGGGCGGCGACGGCCCCAACGCAGAGGCGACACCACCAGCCUGACACGCCGGCAGCCCAGCCCGGCCGGCCGCUAGUAGGGGCUCUCGCCCUUCACGUUGCCGUGCGGGUUGUAGAGGCAGAGCGUGAGCGUGGCGCCGGAGGCGCAGCUGGCCUGCGCGCAGCCGACCUCCGCGGUGCGGCGCCACACCACCUGCGUGUAGGUGCCGCACUGCUGGCCGGCGGCGCAGGUGUUGUUGGCGUGGGUGUAGUACUUCCCCUGCGCCACCCAGGAGGCCACCACCUCGGCCGGGCGCGCGCGGUAGCUCGCCCACCCCUGGUUCGCGCCGUAGGGGCUGGCGCCCAUGUCCGCGAACGCGCAGUUCUUCUGCUUCUGCUGCUGGGACGAGGUCCACGCCGCCGCCGCCGUCAGGUCGGCGCUCCACCGCAGCGCGGCCACGCCGACCGCCGCGCGCGCCUUGUUGUGCGGCGCCAGGAACUCGUCCGCCGUCGCCGUAGCGUUUGCCGCCGCCGCCGCCUGCGCCUUGCCGACCGCCAGCGCGCGGCCGCCGUAGGCCGGCGCGGCGCACAGCGCGAGGAGGACGAGAAGGCACGCCGUGGCCGCCGCGUGGUGGCGGCUCUGGGGAGCCAUGAGAUCUGGGGUGGGUGAGGCCAGUAAUGGCGAGCAGUGGGCAGUGAAGUGAGAGCACUGGGCGUGAGCGAGUGAGUGGACAGUGGAGUGUGCGCGCGAGGGAUUGUCAGCUAGCGAGUUAAGAAGCUCAGCGGGAACCGGCAGCAGCGAGCGAUGGCUACGCGGCAGUCGCUGGUUCGCUGGUGCCGCGGCGAUGGCUCACUUGUACUCCUACAUUGGAGUGGCCAAAUUCACUGUUUUGACCUUUUUCCUUAACUUAAGCAUGAUUUGACCCUAUGUGCAAAAGUUUUUCGGAUCUGACCUUUUUUCUAUCGUCAUUGUCUAUGACGGUAGGCUAACACGGCCUACCGCCAAGGUCUUUGGCGGUAGGACUUAAUUACACCGUCACGUCUGUUCGAUGUGAAAAAGGACCCUACUGCCAUGGUCUUUGGCGGUAGGGGCAUCUAUGUAAUUAUAAUAAAGGCACGCAUGCAAUAAAAAAUUCAUUUUUUGCAAAAAGGACCCUACCGCCAUAGACUAUGGCGGUAGGGUUACACGUCCUACCGCCAUCGACUGCGGCGGUAGGGUUCUUUCUGCAAAAAAUGAAAGCGAUGGUGCAGGUAAGUCUUACUGUCAAAGACCUUGGCGGUAGGGUGUGUUAUCGUCAUAAAUAAUGGCGAUAGAAAAAAGGUCAGAUCCGAAAAAGGAGUUGGUGAUGUUGGGGACGCGACGCCACAGCUCGUGUACGGGUGCAUGGCGUGCGCCAUCCCGGCCCGAUCCCGCGGCUGGCAAGUGGAGGGAGGAGCGCGGAACCUGGCGAGAUCCGGGGGGUUGUUGGGUCGCCUGUGGGUGCGUGUCAGUGCCCCGCCCAGCAUCUGAUGCGGUUUUUCCCGUGUCGAGAUCCAGAUCAGCACGGCGUCCCCAGGCUUGGACGGACGCAACCGGGCCGGUGCCGAGCGCGUGAGGGGGUGCGGCGAUCGGCUGCGUGACCUGAGCUGAGCUGUUGGGGCUAGCAAUGGGGAUUGUGCACGUCGGGGAAGCAGAUACGCAGUAGUCACGAAGAGGCGUGGAUAGAUCCAAGACCAAGUUGAUGGGUUGGGACUUCGGGGCGAAAAUACGGAAUGAUUCUGGUCGAGGACGAUUCGGCGGGCACUGUGAAGAUGCGUGCAGAAAAUAGUGAGAUUAUUCGGUUAGGCAACUUGCUAGACGUGCUGCUGUGUACGAAGUUCAGAUCAGUGUUUUUAUUAGGGGCAACGAUCUGCGCCGGCGCACCGGCCCAAUUGUUGGGCCGGUCAAGCCCCAGCCGCCCGAUCCGCGAGCUCGAGCCGUCAGAUCUGUUUCCUCGCGUCCCCUUCCCCCGCGUUGACUUCUUCUUUCUCUCCUUCUUCNNNNNNNNNNNNNNNNNNNNNNNNNNNNNNNNNNNNNNNNNNNNNNNNNNNNNNNNNNNNNNNNNNNNNNNNNNNNNNNNNNNNNNNNNNNNNNNNNNNNNNNNNNNNNNNNNNNNNNNNNNNNNNNNNNNNNNNNNNNNNNNNNNNNNNNNNNNNNNNNNNNNNNNNNNNNNNNNNNNNNNNNNNNNNNNNNNNNNNNNNNNNNNNNNNNNNNNNNNNNNNNNNNNNNNNNNNNNNNNNNNNNNNNNNNNNNNNNNNNNNNNNNNNNNNNNNNNNNNNNNNNNNNNNNNNNNNNNNNNNNNNNNNNNNNNNNNNNNNNNNNNNNNNNNNNNNNNNNNNNNNNNNNNNNNNNNNNNNCGUCGCCGCCAAUCGCCGUCCCCGUCGCUGUCGCUGUCGCAUCAUCCAUACUCACCCCCCGGUCCAGCAGAAAGCCCCCCUUGUAGCAAAAAAGGCGCCGUCUUGAAGCACACCGGCACCCCCUGUCGUUGCAACACCUAGCAGCCUCCAUCGUCGUUGCACCGUCGUGUCGCCGAUGCAGCUCUCAACGUCGCCGCUCGCUGCCAUUGACGAGUCAGGUUGAAACUUUUUAUCUCAUCGGUUGAAGCUUUUCUCUAUGCCUGUUGAAGCUUUUCUCGCGGAUUGAAGCUUUCCACCAUGCCAAUUGAAGCUUUUUUCACCUGAGCUUGAAGCUUUUUUCACAAAGGCUUGCAGCUUUUUACUCUGCAGUUGCAACAAAACACACAGAGAGACGUCGUGGUCGUCGUCGAGGAGGAUUUUCUCAAUCUCUGUUUGAAGCUUUUUCAUCUGCGGGUUGAAGCUUUUUGUCAAAACGGUUGUAACUUUUCCUGCAUUUCGUUGUCUGGUUGAAACUUUUUUAUCUACUGGAUGUAGCUUUUGUGUCCAUGGUUGUAGCACGGGGAAACGCCGUUUGCAACUCUCCCAGUACCGCGGUUGCAGCUCCUCCCCCGUGGCCAUGGUUGUAGCACGGGCACCUCGGUCCUCCCGGCGUUUUGCCUGUCGCCGGUUGCAACAAAAGGGGAAGAGAGGAGGAGGAAGAGGGAAGAGAGGGAGAAGGAAGAAAAAGGAGGUGGGAAUGAGAGCGGGGCUGCAACCUCUACAUCCAUGGGCGACGGCGAGCUGCUCCACGCGCUACAAUGGAGGAGGCGAGAUGGGAUCAGGCGGAGGCGGAAGGAAGAAGAAGCAAAGAAAAAGAAAAAAAAGAAAGAAAAACGUUUGGGUCAACUAAGCGCGCGCGUGCCAGCGUGUCCCACGCGUGAAAAAAAGGAAGAGACCGGCCGAGCGCUUCGGCCGGCGCACCAUCCCCAAACACUUCCCUUUUAUUAGGCUGUUCAGAUCAGUGCUGCUACGGUCUCUUAUUUUUUAGAACAAUCCCACUCCACUUUAUUCAAUGAUCAUUACAAUAUCAUGGGGAACUCCUAGCCAUAAGCGGCGUCCCACCCUAAGAGAAAGCGAAACUUUUGCAACAUUUUUUUUAAGGGAAACUUUUGCAACAUAAUGGGCUUCAAAAUUACAAUUUCUACUUUCAUGGCUAAAACGGCAAUCGUCAAAUUCGGUUCUCCUUGCAUUGAUCUCGCGGACAAUGGUUGUGUUGGAUCCUCCACUCCUAUCUUCGAUUUCCUCUACUGCCGAUAAGCAAUCUGAUGCAACAAAAAAGUCGCCGAAUAAGCAGAUCAUUGGCCAAUGCUUGCGCUCCCCUGCAUACCAAAGUCUACAAAAUCAAUGGAUCCAAAAUAUGCGAGAAGACCAUAGCUAAAGAGUUCCUGGGGUUCUGAAUCUCAGAUGUUUGUGGCUUUGAGUCCAAACUACUGAGCUAUUCGAUUAAUCUUUUGAUAAACAAAUGGGUCGAGAGAGGAGACUUGAAUUCAGAUUCGUGAAUUGCCUUCAACCUCGAAGACCACAUCGCACACAGGGAAAUAACCACUCAAACAAAAUCAGCAUAUGAUGGUGAACCAAUCAACUCGAACAGCCAAUUCCUUGCGCUUAUUACGUUAGUGUGUAUCAAAUGCUCAACCAGGCCCUCAUCAUCCAUAGCCAAAUGCCCUAGGCAUCGAACACUCCAGUAGCGAGUAUCUCCAUGAAUCAACCAUGCCACAAAGACUGCAGUUUGGCGUAUCCACCAUAUUCCCGUGGUCGAGAACAUCAUAUGCAGGCAGUGAGUGUUGACCUAAUCGCCACAAGAAGGGUCGUAUUUUUGUUGGGACUUGAGUGUGCCAAAGUGAAACCCAAUCCUUCUGUACCCAAGCGGUACUAGAAGAACCCGAGGUCUCUUCUAGCCAGCCUCCUCUGUUAAAUUUUGUAUGGACUAAGAGCAUCUCUAGCAGACCCUUAAAGGGUGCCGACACACAAAAUAACCGCCCAUUUAAGGUUUCAAGCAAAAAAGUGCCCCGGCCAGACACCGUACCGGUCCGCGAACUGUAAAAAAUAUUGCGGGGCACGAAAAAACUUCAACCUCAACCUUUAGAUUCAUGGAGCGGGAGGCCGACCCGAGCUUGACUCCUAUCAGCUGCAAGAUUUGGCGGGAGAGACAUUUCUGCACGGUCUUCCUGCUUCCCUUUCCCUCCGCUGCCAACCACCUCCCUCCGCCUGCUCCGGAGCACCUUCUUCGGCUUCCCUCCACUGCAAUGGAAGCCUCUCAGCCGUCGGCCGUCACCGUGGAUGCCAUCCACGCGUCACCCCCUUCGACAGAUCUCGUCGCCGGCCAUGCCGCGCCCGUCACCGUUCAAGGCUCCAUCGCGCCACCCCGCAAGCGGUAGGGCAACAUUGUCGUCCAGGGCGGUGCUCCCGCAGGCCCCACCGGGAAGGCACGCGCGCCCGCCGGCCCCGCCCCUCCGAUGCGAAUUUGGUCCAGCACCCGCUGGCGAAAAAGGGGAAGGCUUCUGGUGUGAAACGCAAGAAGCUCGUCGGAAGAGCUACCCCGCCAACACCUCCCUCGUUUGCUCCGGCAAGAUUUGCCCCGACAAUGCCCGCCGAUGGCGCUGCUGCCGCCGCCCUCGAGGUGUUCGACGGAAUGGGCGCAAGGUAUGAUGCUUCGAUUUCUUGCACUUCUUUCACUUUUGUUCAUUCCGCUUGUUUGUGACUUGUCGAGUGAAUUUGUAGCGCCGGUAUGCAUGAUGCGACCGCCGACUUCAUGCAAAUGUUGGACGACAACACCGUCGACAUCGAUAGCCCUGAUCGGUGAGUAUGGUUACAACGAGAUGGAUGGUGGCGUGCACGGUCACAGGGAAGAAGAUGAUGUGGAGGAGGUUGACGAUGGGGUGUAUGACGAAGCACAAGCAAAACGCGCAAGAUUGAAGAACUACACUCCAUUGGAAGACAAAGUCUUGAUCAAGGCUUGGGAAUCUGUGUCUCUUGAUGCGUGCACCGGCACCGACCAAACCACCAAGCGGUAUUGGCAAAGGAUCGAGGAUCAAUACCUCUGCAUGAUGGCAAAGUUGUUGGGGAACGUAGUAAUUUCAAAAUUUUCCUACGCACACGCAAGAUCAUGGUGAUGCAUAGCAACGAGAGGGGAGAGUGUUGUCCACGUACCCUCGUAGACCGUAAGCGGAAGCGUUAUGACAACGCGGUUGAUGUAGUCGUACGUCUUCACGAUCCGACCGAUCCAAGCACCGAACGUACGGCACCUCCGACUUCAGCACACGUUCAGCUCGAUGACGAUCCCCGGACUCCGAUCCAGCAAAGUGUCGGGGAUGAGUUCCGUCAGCACGACGGCGUGGUGACGAUGAUGAUAUUCUACCGGCGCGGGGCUUCGCCUAAACUCUGCGACGAUAUGACCGAGGUGGAAUAUGGUGGAGGGGGGCACCGCACACGGCUAAGGAACAAUCUUGAAGAUCAACUUGUGUGUUCUAGGUGUUGGGGAACGUAGUAAUUUCAAAAAAAUUCCUACGCACACGCAAGAUCAUGGUGAUGCAUAGCAACGAGUGGGGAGAGUGUAAUCUACAUACCCUUGUAGACCGAAAGCGAAAGCGUUAGAACAACGCGGUUGAUGUAGUCGUACGUCUUCACGGCCCAACCGAUCAAGCACCGAAACUACGGCACCCCCGAGUUCUAGCACACGUUCAGCUCGAUGACGUCCCUCGAACUCCGAUCCAGCCGAGUGUCGAAGAAGAGUUCCGUUAGCACAACGGCGUGGUGACGAUCUUGAUGUUCUACCGUCGCAGGGCUUCGCCUAAGCACCGCUACAAUAUUAUCGAGGAGGACUAUGGUGGAGGGGGGCACCGCACACGGCUAAUAGAUCUCAAAGAUCAAUUGUUGUUGUCUUUGGGGUGCCCCCCUGCCCCCAUAUAUAUAGGAGCAAGGGGGGAGGCGGCCAGCCUAUGGAGGAGGCGCACCAAGGGGGGAGUCCUACUCCCACCGGGAGUAAGACUCCUCCUUUCCUUGUUGGAGAAGAAAAGAGGAGGAGAGGGAGAAGGAAAAAGGGGGCUGCCCCCCUUGUCCAAUUCGGACCAGAGGGGGGCGCAGGCCUCCUUCCUUUUGGCCUCUCUUCUCUAUUCCCGUAUGGCCCAAUAAGGCCCAUAUACUUCCCGGCGAAUUCCCGUAACUCUCCGGUACUCCGAAAAAUACCCGAACCACUCAGAACCUUUCCGAACUCCGAAUAUAGUCGUCCAAUAUAUCGAUCUUUACGUCUCGACCAUUUUGAGACUCCUCGUCAUGUCCCCGAUCUCAUCCGGGACUCCGAACUCCUUCGGUACAUCAAAAUUCAUAAACUCAUAAUAUAACUGUCAUCGAAACCUUAAGCGUGCGGAUCCUACGGGUUCGAGAACAAUGUAGACAUGACCUAGAACUAUUCUCGGUCAAUAACCAAUAGCGGAACCUAGAUGCUCAUAUUGGCUCCUACAUAUUCUGCGAAGAUCUUUAUCGGUCAAACCGCAUAACAACAUACGUUAUUCCCUUUGUCAUCGGUAUGUUACUUGCCCGAGAUUCGAUCAUCGGUAUCCAAUACCUAGUUCAAUCUCGUUACUGGCAAGUCUCUUUACUCGUUACGUAAUGCAUCAUUUCGUAACUAACUCAUUAGCUACAUUGCUUGCAAGGCUUAUAGUGAUGUGCAUUACCGAGAGGGCCCAGAGAUACCUCUCCGACAAUCGGAGUGACAAAACCUAAUCCUGAAAUAUGCCAACCCAACAUGUACCUUUGGAGACACCUGCAGUACUCCUUUAUAAUCACCCAGUUACGUUGUGAUGUUUGGUAGCACCCAAAGUGUUCCUUCGGUAAACGGGAGUUGCAUAAUCUCAUAGUUACAGGAACAUGUAUAAGUCAUGAAGAAAGCAACAGCAACAUACUAAACGAUCAAGUGCUAAGCUAACGGAAUGGGUCAAGUCAAUCACAUCAUUCUCCUAAUGAUGUGAUCCCGUUAAUCAAAUGACAACUCUUUUGUCCAUGGUUAGGAAACAUAACCAUCUUUGAUAAACGAGCUAGUCAAGUAGAGGCAUACUAGUGACACUAUGUUUGUCUAUGUAUUCACACAUGUAUUAUAUUUCCGGUUAAUACAAUUCUAGCAUGAAUAAUAAACAUUUAUCAUGAUAUGAGGAAAUAAAUAAUAACUUUAUUAUUGCCUCUAGGGCAUGUUUCCUUCACUAGGGUGCCCCCUGCCCCCGUAUAUAAAGGAGGGAGGGGGGAGGUGCGGCCGGCCCCCUAGGGGUGCGCCUGGAGGAGUCCUACUCCCAUCGGGAGUAGGACUCCCCCCUCUUGCCUUGGUGGAGAAGGAAAGGGGGAGGGGAAAGAGAAAAAGGGGGGCACCCCCCGUCUUCCUUGUCCUAUUCGGACUAGGAGGGGAGGGGGCGCGCGGCCGGCCCUGGCCGGCCCUCCUCUUCUCCCUCAUGGCCCACUAAGGCCCAUUAACCCCUUGGAGGGUUCCGGUAACCCCCCGAUGUUCCGGUAAAAUCCCGAUUUCACCCGGAACCAUUCCGAUAUCCAAAUAUAGGCUUCCAAUAUAUCAAUCUUUACGUCUCGACCAUUUCGAGACUCCUCGUCAUGUCCGUGAUCACAUACGGGACUCCGAACAACCUUCGGUACAUCAAAACUUAUAAACUCAUAAUAAAAUUGUCAUCGUAACGUUAAGCGUGCGGACCCUACGGGUUCGAGAACUAUGUAGACAUGACCUAGAACUAUUCUCGGUCAAUAACCAAUAGCGGAACCUGGAUGCUCAUAUUGGCUCCUACAUAUUCUGCGAAGAUCUUUAUCGGUCAAACCGCAUAACAACAUACGGUGUUCCCUUUGUCAUCGGUAUGUUACUUGCCCGAGAUUCGAUCGUCGGUAUCCAAUUGUUGGGGAACGUAGCAGAAAUUCAAAAUUUUCCUACGAGUCACCAAGAUCUAUCUAUGGAGAGACUAGCAACGAGGGGAAGGAGAGUGCAUCUACAUACCCUUGUAGAUCGCUAAGCGGAAGCGUUCAAGAGAACGGGGUUGAAGGAGUCGUAGUCGUCGUGAUCCAAAUCACCGGAGAUCCUAGUGCCGAACGGACGGCACCUCCGCAUUCAACACACGUACAACCCGGUGACGUCUCCCAUGCCUUGAUCCAGCAAGGAGAGAGGGAGAGGUUGAGGAAGACUCCAUCCAGCAGCAGCACGACGGCGUGGUGGUGGUGGAGGAGCGUGGCAAUCCUGCAGGGCUUCGCCAAGCACCGCGGGAGAGGAGGAGGACUUGGGAGAGGGGGAGGGCUGCGCCAGAACUUCGUGUGAAGCUCCCAUGCACCUCCCCACUAUAUAUAGGGGUGGAGGGGCUGGUUUCUUGCUCUCCAAGUCCAUUUGGGGCAUUGGCAAAGGUGGGAGGAAAGAAAUCCCAUCAUUUCCUUCCCCACCAAUUUUUAUCCCCCUUUUUAGGGAUCUUGAUCUUAUCCCUUCGGGAUAUGAUCUUAUUCCUUCUAAGGGGGGAUCUUGGUGCGCCUUGACCAGGGGUGUGGGGCCUUACCCCCACUACCCACGUUCAUGUGGGUCCCCCCAUGCAGGUGGGCCCCACUCCGGAACCUUCUAGAACCUUCCCGAUACAAUACCGAAAAAUCCUGAACAUUUUCCGGUGGCCAAAAUAGGACUUCCCAUAUAUAAAUCUUUACCUCCGGACCAUUCCGGAACUCCUCGUGAUGUCCGGGAUCUCAUCCGAGACUCCGAACAAUAUUCGGUAACCACAUACAAACUUCCUUUAUAACCCUAGCAUCAUCGAACCUUAAGUGUGCAGACCCUACGGGUUCGGGAACCAUGUAGACAUGACCGAGACGUUCUCCGGUCAAUAACCAACAGCGGGAUAUGGAUACCCAUGUUGUCUCCCACAUGUUCCAUGAUGAUCUCAUCGGAUGAAUCACGAUGUCAAGGACUCAAUCGAUCCCGUAUACAAUUCCCUUUGUCUUGCGGUAUAGUACUUGCCCGAGAUUCGAUCGUCGGUAUCCCGAUACCUUGUUCAAUCUCGUUACCGGCAAGUCUCUUUACUCGUUCCGUAACACAUCAUCCCGUGAUCAACCCCUUGGUCACAUUGUGCACAUUAUGAUGAUGUCCUACCGAGUGGGCCCAGAGAUACCUCUCCGUUUACACGGAGUGACAAAUCCCACUCUCGAUUCGUGCCAACCCAACAAACACUUUCGGAGAUACCUGUAGUGCACCUUUAUAGACACCCAGUUACGUUGUGACGUUUGGUACACCCAAAGCAUUCCUACGGUAUCCGGGAGUUGCACAAUCUCAUGGUCUAAGGAAAAUAUACUUGACAUUAGAAAAGCUUUAGCAUACGAACUACACGAUCUUUGUGCUAGGCUUAUGAUUGGGUCUUGUCCAUCACAUCAUUCUCCUAAUGAUGUGAUCCCGUUAUCAACGACAUCUAAUGUCCAUGGUCAGGAAACCGUAACCAUCUAUUGAUCAACGAGCUAGUCAACUAGAGGCUUACUAGGGACAUGGUGUUGUCUAUGUACCCACACAUGUAUCUGAGUUUCCUAUCAAUACAAUUAUAGCAUGGAUAAUAAACGAUUAUCAUGAACAAGGAAAUAUAAUAAUAAUAACUAAUUUAUUAUUGCCUCUAGGGCAUAUUUCCAACAGUCUCCCACUUGCACUAGAGUCAAUAAUCUAGUUCACAUCGCCAUGUGAUUAACACUCACAGGUCACAUCGCCAUGUGACCAACAUCCAAAGAGUUUACUAGUGUGACUAAACUAGUUCACAUCAUCAUGUGAUUAAGACUCAAUGAGUUCUAGGGUUUGAUCAUGUUUUGCUUGUGAGAGAGGUUUUAGUCAACGGGUCUGCAACAUUCAGAUCCGUAUGUACUUCGCAAAUCUCUAGGUCAUAUUGUAAAUAUUGCUUCCACGCUCCACUUGGAGCUAUUCCAAAUGGUCGCUCCACUAUACGUAUUCGGUUUGCUACUCAGAGUCACUCGGAUAGGUGUUAAAGCUUGCAUCGACGUAACCCUUUACGCCGAACUCUUUAUCACCUCCAUAAUCGAGAAACAUGUCCUUAUUUACUCCAAGGACAAUUUUGACCGCUGUCCAAUGAUCCAUUCCUAGAUCAUUCUUGUACCCCUUGACUGACUCAUGGCAAGGCACACUUCCGGUGCGGUACACAACAUAGCAUACUAGAGCCUACGUCUGAAGCAUAGGGGACGACAUUCGUCCUUUCUCUCUCUUCUGCCGUGGUCGAGCUUUAACUCUUAACUUCAUACCUUACAACUCAGGCAAGAACUCCUUCUUUGACUGAUCCAUCUUGAACACCUUCAAGAUCAUGUCAAGGUAUGUGCUCAUUUGAAAGUACCAUUUAGUGUUUUUUGAUCUAUCCUCAUAGAUCUUGAUGCUCAAUGUUCAAGUAGCUUAAUCCAGGUUUUCCAUUGAAAAACACUUUUCAAAUAACCAUAUAUGCAUUCCAGAAAUUCUACAUCAUUUCUGAUCAACAAUAUGUCAACAACAUAUACUCAUCAGAAAUUCUAUAGUGCUCCCACUAACUUCUUUGGAAAUACAAGUUUCUCAUAAACUUUGUAUAAACCCAAAAUCUUUGAUCAUCUUAUCAAAGUGCAUAUUCCAACUCCGAGAUGCUUACUCCAGUCCAUGGAAGGAUCGCUGGAGCUAGCAUACCUUUUAGCAUCCUUAGGAUCGACAAAACCUUUCUAAUUGUAUCAACCUUUCCUUACGAAAACUGGUAAGGAAACUCAUUUUGACAUCCAUUUGCUAGAUUUCAUAAAUGUAGCUAAUGCUAACAUGAUUCCGACGGACUUAAGCAUCGCUACGGAUGAUAAAAUCUCAUCGUAGUCAACUCCUUGAACUUGUGAAAAACUCUUCGCCACAAGUCGAGCUUCAUAGACGGUGACAUUACCGUCCACGUCCGUCUUCUUCUUAAAGAUCCAUUUAUCUCAAUGGCUUGCCGAUCAUCGGGAAAGUCCACCAAAGUCCAUGCUUUGUUCUGAUACAUGGAUCCUAUCUCGGAUUUCAUGGCUUCUAACCAUUUGUCGGAAUUUGGGCCCACCAUCGCUUCUCCAUAGCUCAUAGGUUCAUUGUUGUCUAGCAACAUGACCUCUAAGACAGGAUUGCGUACCACUCUGAAGUAGUACGCGUCCUUGUCGACCUACGAGGUUCGGUAGUGACUUGAUCCGAAGCAUCAUGAUCACUAUCAUCAGCUUCUGCUUCAAUUGGUGUAGGUGCCACAUGAACAACUUCCUGUGCCCUGCUACACACUGGUUGAAGUGAUGGUUCAAUAACCUCAUCAAGUCUCCACCAUCCUCCCACUCAAUUCUUUCGAGAGAAACUUUUCCUCGAGAAAGGACCUGUUUCUAGAAACAAUUACUUUUGCUUCCGGAUCUGAGGUAGGAGGUAUACCCAACCAUUUUGGGUAUCCUAUGAAGAUGCAUUUAUCCGUUUUGGGUUCGAGCUUAUCACGAUGAAACUUUUUCACAUAAGCAUCGAUACCCCAAACUUUCAAGAAACGACAGCUUAGGUUUCUCUAAACCAUAUUUCUCACGGUGUCAUCUCAACGGAAUUAUGUGGUGCCCUAUUAAAGUGAGUGCGGUUGUCUCUAAUGCCUAACCCAUGAACGAUAGUGGUAAUUCGAUAAGAGACAUCAUGGUACGCACCAUAUCCAAUAGGGUGCAACUAUGAUGUUCGGGCACACCAUCACACUAUGGUGUUCCAGGCGGUAUUAAUUGUGAAACAAUUUCCACAAUGUCUUAAUUGCGUGCCAAAGCUCGUAACUCAGAUACUCAUCUCUAUGAUCAUAUCAUAGAAAUUUUAUCCUCUUGUCACAAUGAUCUUCAACUUCACUCUGAAAUUACUUGAACCAUUCAAUAAUUCAGACUUGUGUUUCAUCAAGUAAAUAUACUCAACAUCUACUCGAAUCAUCUGUGAAGUGAGAACAUAACGAUAUUCACUGCAUGCCUCAACACUCAUUGGACUGGACACAUCAAAAUGUGUUACUUCCAAUAAGUUGCUAUGUUGUUCCAUCUUACUGAAAACGAGGCUUUUCAGUCAUCUUGCCCAUGUGGUAUAAUUUGCAUAUCUCAAGUGAUUCAAAAUCAAGUGAGUCCAAACGAUCCAUCUGCAUGGAGUUUCUUCAUGCGUAUACACCAAUAGACAUGGUUCGCAUGUCUCAAACUUUUCAAAAACGAGUGAGUCCAAAGAUCCAUCAACAUGGAGCUUCUUCAUGCGUUUUAUACCAAUAUGACUUACAUGGAAGUGCCACAAGUAAGUGGUACUAUCAUUACUAUCUUAUAUCUUUUUAGGUGCAAGACCAUUGAAGGUAUUAUUCAAAUAAAUAGAGUAACCAUUAUUCUCCUUAAAUGAAUAACCGUAUUGCGAUAGACAUAAUCCAAUCAUGUCUAUGCUCAACGCAAACACCAAAAGACAAUUAUUUAGGUUUAAUACUAAUCUUGAUGGUAGAGGGAGUGUGUGAUGUUUGAUCACAUCAAACUUGGAAACACUUCCAACACAUAUCGUCAGCUCACCUUUAGCUAGUCUCCGUUUAUUCCGUAGCCUUUUAUUUCGAGUUACUAAUACUUAGCAACCGAACCGGUAUCUAAUACCCUGGUGCUACUAGGGGUACUAGUAAAGUACACAUUAACAUAAUGUAUAUCCAAUAUACUUCUAUCGACCUUGCCAGCCUUCUCAUCUACCAAGCAUCUAGGGUGAUUCUGCUCCAGUGGCUGUUCCCCUUAUUACAGAAGCACUUAGUCUCGGGUUUGGGUUCAACCUUGGGUUUCUUCACUAGAGCAGCAGCUGAUUUGCCGUUUCAUGAAGUAUCCCUUCUUUCCCUUGCCCUUCUUGAAACUAGUGGUUUCACCAACCAUCAACAAUUGAUGCUCCUUCUUGAUUUCUACUUUCGCGGUGUCAAACAUCGUGAAUACCUCAAGGAUCAUCAUAUCUAUCCCUGAUAUGUUAUAGUUCAUCACGAAGCUCUAGCAGCUUGGUGGCAAUGACUUUGGAGAAACAUCACUAUCUCAUCUGGAAGAUUAACUCCCACUUGAUUCAAGUGAUUGUUGCACUCAGACAAUCUGAGCACAAGCUCAACGAUUGAGCUUUUCUCCCUUAGUUUGCAGGCUAAGAAAAUCGUCGGAGGUCUUAUACUUCUUGACGUGGGCACGAGCCUGAAAUCCCAAUUUCAGCCCUCAAAACAUCUCAUAUGUUCCGCGAUGUUUCGAAAACGUCUUUGGUGCCUCAACUCUAAACCAUUUAACUGAACUAUCACGUAGUUAUCAAAACGUGUAUGUACGAUGUUCGCAACAUCUAAAGACGACGUUUGGGGUUCUGCACACUGAGCGGUGCAUUAAGGACAUAAGCUUUCUACUGAUCGCAUAAUCGCUACUGACAACUUUCAACUAUAUUUUCUCUAGGAACAUAUCUAAAACAGUAGAACUAAAGCGCGAGCUAUGACAUAAUUUGCAAAGGGCUUUUGACUAUGUUCAGGAUAAUUAAGUUCAUCUAAUGAACUCCCACUCAGAUAGACAUCCCUCUAGUCAUCUAAGUGAUUACAUGAUCCGAGUCAACUAGGCCGUGUCCGAUCAUCACGUGAGACAGACUAGUCAUCAUCGGUGAACAUCUUCAUGUUGAUCGUAUCUACUAUACGACUCAUGCUCGACCUUUCGGUCUCUUGUGUUCCGAGGCCAUGUCUGUACAUGCUAGGCUCGUCAAGUCAACCUAAGUGUUUCGCGUGUGUAAAUCUGGCUUACACCCGUUGUAUGUGAACGUAAGAAUCUAUCACACCCGAUCAUCACGUGGUGCUUCGAAACGACGAACUUUCGCAACGUUGCACAGUUAGGGUGAACACUUUCUUGAAAUUUUAAUGAGGGAUCAUCUUAUUUACUACCGUCGUUCUAAGCAAAUAAGAUGCAUAAACAUGAUAAACAUCACAUGCAAUCAAAUAGUGACAUGAUAUGGCCAAUAUCAUUUUGCUCCUUUUGAUCUCCAUCUUCGGGGCUCCAUGAUCAUCAUCGUCACCAGCAUGACACCAUGAUCUCCAUCAUCAUGAUCUCCAUUAUCGUGUCUCCAUGAAGUUGUCUCGCCAACUUAUUACUUCUACUACUAUGGCUACCGGUUAGCAAUAAAGUAAAGUAAUUACAUGGCGUUGUUCAAUGACACGUAGGUCAUACAAUAAAUUAAGACAACUCCUAUGGCUCCUCCCGGUUGUCAUACUCAUCGACAUGCAAGUCGUGAUUCCUAUUACAAGAACAUGAUCAAUCUCAUACAUCACAUAUCAUUCAUCACAUUCUUCUUGGCCAUAUCACAUCACAUAGCAUACCCUGCAAAAACAAGUUAGACGUCCUCUAAUUGUUGUUUGCAUGUUUUACGUGGCUGCUAUGGGUUUCUAGCAAGAACGUUUCUUACCUACGCAAAACCACAACAUGAUAUGCCAAUUGCUAUUUACCCUUCAUAAGGACCCUUUUCAUCGAAUCCGUUCCGACUAAAGUGGGAGAGACUGGCACCCGCUAGCCACCUUAUGCACCAAGUGCAUGUCAGUCGGUGGAACCUGUCUCACGUAAGAGUACGUGUAAGGUCGGUCCGGGCCGCUUCAUCCCACAAUACCGUUGAAACAAGAUUGGACUAGUACGGUAAGCAUAUUGAACAAAAUCAACGCCCACAACUAGUUUGUGUUCUACUCGUGCAAAGAAUCUACGCAACAGACCUGGCUCUAAUACCACUGUAGGGGAACGUAGCAGAAAUUCAAAAUUUUCCUACGAGUCACCAAGAUCUAUCUAUGGAGAGACUAGCAACGAGGGUAAGGAGAGUGCAUCUACAUACCCUCGUAGAUUGCUAAGCGGAAGCGUUCAAGAGAAAGGGGUUGAAGGAGUCGUACUCGCCGUGAUCCAAAUCACCGGAGAUCCUAGUGCCGAACGGACGGCACCUCCGCGUUCAACACACGUACAGCCCGGUGACGUCUCCCAUGCCUUGAUCCAGCAAGGAGAGAGGGAGAGGUUGAGGAAGACUCCAUCCAGCAGCAGCACGACGGCGUGGUGGUGGUGGAGGAGUGUGGCAAUCCUGCAGGGCUUCGCCAAGCACCGCGGGAAAGGAGCAGGACUUGGGAGAGGGGGAGGGCUGCGCCAGAACUUCGUGUGAAGCUCCCAUGCGCCUCCCCACUAUAUAUAGGGGUGUAGGGGCUGGUUUCUUGCUCUCCAAGUCCAUUGGGGCAUUGGCAAAGGUGGGAGGAAAGAAAUCCCAUCAUUUCCUUCCCCACCGAUUGUUAUCCCUCCUUUUUAGGGAUCUUGAUCUUAUCCCUUCGGGAUAUGAUCUUAUUCCUUCUAAGGGGGGAUCUUGGUGCGCCUUGACCAGGGGUGUGGGGCCUUACCCCCACUACCCACGUUCAUGUGGGUCCCCCCAUGCAGGUGGGCCCCACUCCGGAACCUUCUAGAACCUUCUCGGUACAAUACCGAAAAAUCCCGAACAUUUUCCGGUGGCCAAAAUAGGACUUCCCAUAUAUAAAGCUUUACCUCCGGACCAUUCCGGAACUCCUCGUGAUGUCCGGGAUCUCAUCCGAGACUCCGAACAACAUUCGGUAACCACAUACAAACUUCCUUUAUAACCCUAGCGUCGUCGAACCUUAAGUGUGUAGACCCUACGGGUUCGGGAACCAUGUAGACAUGACCGAGACGUUCUCCGGUCAAUGACCAACAGCGGGAUCUGGAUACCCAUGUUGGCUCCCACAUAUUCCAUGAUGAUCUCAUCGUAUGAACCACGAUGUCAAGGACUCAAUCGAUCCCGUAUACAAUUCCCUUUGUCUUGCGGUAUAGUACUUGCCCGAGAUUCGAUCGUCGGUAUCCCGAUACCUUGUUCAAUCUCGUUACCGGCAAGUCUCUUUACUCGUUCCGUAACACAUCAUCCCGUGAUCAACCCCUUGGUCACAUUGUGCACAUUAUGAUGAUGUCCUACCGAGUGGGCCCAGAGAUACCUCUCCGUUUACACGGAGUGACAAAUCCCACUCUCGAUUCGUGCCAACCCAACAGACACUUUCGGAGAUACCUGUAGUGCACCUUUAUAGCCACCCAGUUACGUUGUGACGUUUGGUACACCCAAAGCAUUCCUACGGUAUCCGGGAGUUGCACAAUCUCAUGGUCUAAGGAAAAGAUACUUGACAUUAGAAAAGCUUUAGCAUACGAACUACGCGAUCUUUGUGCUAGGCUUAUGAUUGGGUCUUGUCCAUCACAUCAUUCUCCUAAUGAUGUGAUCCCGUUAUCAAUGACAUCCAAUGUCCAUGGUUAGGAAACCGUAACCAUCUAUUGAUCAACGAGCUAGUCAACUAGAGGCUUACUAGGGACAUGGUGUUGUCUAUGUACCCACACAUGUAUCUGAGUUUCCUAUUAUACAAUUAUAGCAUGGAUAAUAAACGAUUAUCAUGAACAAGGAAAUAUAAUAAUAAUAACUAAUUUAUUAUUGCCUCUAGGGCAUAUUUCCAACACCAAUACCUAGUUCAAUCUCGUUACUGGCAAGUCUCUUUACUCGUUACGUACUGCAUCAUUCCGUAACUAACUCAUUAGCUACAUUGCUUGCAAGGCUUAUAGUGAUGUGCAUUACCGAGAGGGCCGAGAGAUACCUCUUCGACAAUCGAAGUGACAAAACCUAAUCUCGAAAUACGCCAACCCAACAUGUACCUUUGGAGACACCUGUAGUACUCCUUUAUAAUCACCCAGUUACAUUGUGACGUUUGGUAGCACCCAAAGUGUUCCUCCGGUAAACGGGAGUUGCAUAAUCUCAUAGUUACAUGAACAUGUAUAAGUCAUGAAGAAAGCAAUAACAAUAUACUAAAUGAUCAAGUGCUAGGCUAACGGAAUGGGUCAUGUCAAUCACAUCAUUCUCCUAAUGAUGUGAUCCCAUUAAUCAAAUGACAAUACAUGUUUAUGGUUAGGAAACAUAACCAUCUUUGAUUAAUGAGCUAGUCAAGUAGAGGCAUACUAGUGACUAUAUGUUUGUCUAUGUGUUCACACAUGUAUCAUGUUUCCGGUUAAUACAAUUCUAGCAUGAAUAAUAAAAAAUUAUCAUGAUAUGAGGAAAUAAAUAAUAACUUUAUUAUUGCCUCUAGAGCAUAUUUCCUUCAGUCUCCCACUUGCACUAGAGUCAAUAAUCUAGAUUACACAGUAAUGAUUCUAACACCCAUGGAGUCUUGGUGCUGAUCAUGUUUUGCUCGUGGAAGAGGCUUAGUCAAUGGGUCUGCAACAUUCAGAUCCGUAUGUAUCUUGCAAAUCUCUAUGUCUCCCACCUGGACUUGGUCUCGGAUGGAAUUGAAGCGCCUCUUGAUGUGCUUGGUCCUCUUGUGAAAUCUGGAUUCCUUUGCCAAGGCAAUUGCACCAGUAUUGUCACAGAAGAUCUUCAUUGGUCCCGAUGCACUAGGUAUGACACCUAGAUCGGAAAUGAACUCUUUCAUCCAGACUCCUUCAUUUGCUGCUUCCAAAGCAGCUAUGUACUCCGCUUCACAUGUAGAUCCCGCCACGACGCUUUGUUUAGAACUACACCAACUAACAGCUCCACCGUUUAAUAAAAACACGUAUCCGGUUUGCGAUUUAGAAUCGUCCGGAUCAGUGUCAAAGCUUGCAUCGAUGUAACCAUUUACGACUAGCACUUUGUCACCUCCAUAUAUGAGAAACAUAUCCUUAGUCCUUUUCAGGUAUUUCAGGAUGUUCUUGACCGUUGUCCAGUGAUCCACUCCUGGAUUACUUUGGUACCUUCCUGCCAAGCUUAUUGCUAAGAAAUCAGGUCUGGUACACAACAUUGCAUACAUGAUAGAGCCUAUGGCUGAAGCAUAGGGAACAUCUUUCAUUUUCUCUCUAUCUUCUGCUGUGGUCGGGCAUUGAGUCUGACUCAACUUCACACCUUGUAGUACGAGCAAGAACCCUUUCUUUGCCUGAUCCAUUUUGAAUUUUUUCAAAACUUUAUCAAGGUAUGUGCUUUGUGAAAGUCCUAUUAAGCGUCUUGAUCUAUCUCUAUAAAUCUUGAUGCCUAAUAUAUAAGCAGCUUCACCGAGGUCUUUCAUAGAAAAACUUUUAUUCAAGUAUCCCUUUAUGCUAUCCAGAAAUCUAUAUCAUUUCCAAUUAAUAAUAUGUCAUCUACAUAUAAUAUCAGAAAUGCUACAGAGCUCCCACUCACUUUCUUGUAAAUACAGGCUUCUCCAAAAGUCUGUAUAAAACCAUAUGCUUUGAUCACACUAUCAAAGCGUUUAUUCCAACUCCAAGAUGCUUGCACCAGUCCAUAAAUGGAUCGCUGGAGCUUGCACACUUUGUUAGCACCUUUUGGAUCAACAAAACCUUCUGGCUGCAUCAUAUACAACUCUUCUUUCAGAAAUCCAUUCAAGAAUGCAGUUUUGACAUCCAUUUGCCAAAUUUCAUAAUCAUAAAAUGCAGCAAUUGAUAACAUGAUUCGGACAGACUUAAGCAUCGCUACGGGUGAGAAAGUCUCAUCGUAGUCAACCCCUUGAACUUGCCAAAAACCUUUCGCAACAAGUCGCGCUUUAUAGACAGUUACAUUACCAUCAGCGUCAGUCUUCUUCUUAAAAAUCCAUUUAUUCUCAAUGGCUUGCCGAUCAUCGGGCAAGUCAACCAAAGUCCAUACUUUGUUCUCAUACAUGGAUCCCAUCUCAGGUUUCAUGGCCUCUAGCCAUUUUGCGGAAUCUGGGCUCAUCAUCGCUUCCUCAUAGUUCGUAGGUUCAUCAUGGUCAAGUAACAUGACUUCCAGAAUAGGAUUACCGUACCACUCUGGUGCGGAUCUUACUCUGGUAGACCUACGAGGUUCAGUAGAAACUUGAUCUGAAGUUUCAUGAUCAAUAUCAUUAGCUUCCUCACUAACUGGUGUAGUUGUCACAUGAACCGGUUCUUGUGAUGAACUACUUUCUAAUAAGGGAGCAGGUAUAGUUACCUCAUCAAGUUCUACUUUCCUCCCACUCACUUCUUUCGAGAGAAAUUCCUUCUCUAGAAAGGAUCCGAAUUUAGCAACGAAAAUCUUGCCCUCAGAUCUGUGAUAGAAGGUGUACCCAACAGUUUCUUUUGGGUAUCCUAUGAAGACACAUUUCUCCGAUUUGGGUUCAAGCUUAUCUGGUUGAAGUUUCUUCACAUAAGCAUCGCAGACCCAAACUUUAAGAAACGACAACUUUGGUUUCUUGCCAAACCACAGUUCAUGAGGUGUCGUCUCAACGGAUUUUGAUGGUGCCCUAUUUAACGUGAAUGCGGCCGUCUCUAAAGCAUAACCCCAAAACGAUAGCGGUAAAUCAGUAAGAGACAUCAUAGAUCGUACCAUAUCUAGUAAAGUAUGAUUACGACGUUCGGACACACCAUUUCGUUGUGGUGUUCCGGGUGGCGUGAGUUGCGAAACUAUUCCUCAUUGUUUCAAAUGUAAACCAAACUCGUAACUCAAAUAUUCUCCUCCACGAUCAGAUCGUAGAAAUUUUAUUUUCUUGUUACGAUGAUUUUACACUUCACUCUGAAAUUCUUUGAACUUUUCAAAUGUUUCAGACUUGUGUUUCAUUAAGUAGAUAUACCCAUAUCUACUCAAAUCAUCUGUGAAGGUGAGAAAAUAACGAUACCCGCCGCGAGCCUCAACAUUCAUUGGACCACAAACAUCAGUAUGUAUGAUUUCCAACAAAUCAGUUGCUUGCUCUAUAGUUCCGGAGAUCGGCGUUUUAGUCAUCUUGCCCAUGAGGCACGGUUCGCAAGUACCAAGUGAUUCAUAAUCAAGUGAUUCCAAAAGCCCAUCAGUAUGGAGUUUCUUCAUGCGCUUUACACCGAUAUGACCUAAACGGCAGUGCCACAAAUAAGUUGCACUAUCAUUAUCAACUCUGCAUCUUUUGGUUUCAACACUAUGAAUAUGUGUAUCACUACUAUCGAGAUUCAAUAAAAAUAGACCACUCUUCAAGGGUGCAUGACCAUAAAAGAUAUUACUCAUAUAAAUAGAACAACCAUUAUUCUCUGACUUAAAUGAAUAACCGUCUCGCAUCAAACAAGAUCUAGAUAUAAUGUUCAUGCUUAACGCUGGCACCAAAUAACAAUUAUUUAGGUCUAAAACUAAUCCCGAUGGUAGAUAUAGAGGUAGCGUGCCGACCGCGAUCACAUCGACUUUGGAACCAUUUCCCACGCGCAUCAUCACCUCGUCCUUAGCCAAUCUUCGCUUAAUCUGUAGUCCCUGUUUCGAGUUGCAAAUAUUAGCAACAGAACCAGUAUCAAAUACCCAGGUACUACUGCGAGCAUUAGUAAGGUACACAUCCAUAACAUGUAUAUCACAUAUACCUUUGUUCACUUUGCCGUCCUUCUUAUCCGCCAAAUACUUGGGGCAGUUCCGCUUCCAAUGUCCAGUCUGCUUGCAGUAGAAGCACUCAGUCUCAUGCUUAGGUCCAGACUUGAGUUUCUUCUCUUGAGCAGCAACUUGUUUGCUGUUCUUCUUGAAGUUCCCCUUCUUCUUCCCUUUGCCCUUUUUCUUGAAACUGGUGGUCUUGUUGACCAUCAACACUUGAUGCUCCUUUUUGAUUUCUACCUCCGUGGCUUUUAGCACUGCGAAGAGCUCGGGAAUAGUCUUGUCCAUCCCUUGCAUAUUAUAGUUCAUCACGAAGCUCUUGUAGCUUGGUGGCAAUGAUUGAAGAAUUCUGUCAAUGACACUAUCAUCAGGAAGAUUAACUCCCAGUUGAAUCAAGUGAUUAUUAUACCCAGACAUUUUGAGUAUGUGUUCACUGACAGAACUAUUCCCCUCCAUCUUGCAGCUAUAGAACUUAUUGGAGACUUCAUAUCUCUCAAUCCGGGCAUUUGCUUGAAAUAUUAACUUCAACUCCUGGAACAUCUCAUAUGCUCCAUGACAUUCAAAACGUCGUUGAAGACCCAGUUCUAAGCCGUAAAGCACGGCACACUGAACUAUCGAGUAGUCAUCAGCUUUGCUCUGCCAGACGUUCUUAACGUCGUCAGUUGCAUCAGCAGCAGGCCUGGCACCCAGUGGUGCUUCCAGGACGUAAUUCUUCUGUGCAGCAAUGAGGAUAAUCCUCAGGUUACGGACCCAGUCCGUGUAAUUGCUACCAUCAUCUUUCAACUUUGCUUUCUCAAGGAACGCAUUAAAAUUCAACGGAACAACAGCACGAGCCAUCUAUAUACAACAAACAUAGACAAGCAAAAUACUAUCGGGUACUAAGUUCAUGAUAAAUUUAAGUUCAAUUAAUCAUAUUACUUAAGAACUCCCACUUAGAUAGACAUCCCUCUAAUCUUCUAAGUGAUUACGUGAUCCAUAUCAACUACACCAUGUCCGAUCGUCACGUGAGAUGGAGUAGUUUCAACGGUGAACAUCAAUAUGUUGAUCAUAUCUACUAUAUGAUUCACGCUCGACCUUUCGGUCUCUGUGUUCCGAGGCCAUAUUUGUUAUAUGCUAGGCUCGUCAAGUUUAACCUGAGUAUUCCGCGUGUGCAACUGUUUUGCACCCGUUGUAUUUGAAAGUAGGGUCUAUCACACCCGAUCAUCACGUGGUGUCUCAGCACGAAGAACUUUCGCAAUGGUGCAUACUUAGGGAGAACGCUUCUUGAUAAUUUUAGUGAGAGAUCAUCUUAAAAUGCUACCGUCAAUCAAAGCAAGAUAAGAUGCAUAAAGGAUAAACAUCACAUGCAAUCAAUAUAAGUGAUAUGAUAUGGCCAUCAUCAUCUUGUGCUUGUGAUCUCCAUCUUCGAAGCACCGUCGUGAUCACCAUUGUCACCGGCGCGACACCUUGAUCUCCAUGGUAGCAUCAUUAUCGUUACGCCAUCUAUUGCUUCUACGAAUAUCGCUACCGCUUAGUGAUAAAGUAAAGCAAUUACAGGGCGUUUGCAUUUCAUACAAUAAAGCGACAACCAUAUGGCUCCUGCCAGUUGCCGAUAACUUCGGUUACAAAACAUGAUCAUCUCAUACAAUAAAAUAUAGCAUCACGUCUUGACCAUAUCACAUCACAACAUGCCCUGCAAAAACAAGUUAGACGUCCUCUACUUUAUUGUUGCAAAUUUUACGUGGCUGCUACGGGCUGAGCAAAACCGUUCUUACCUACGCAUCAAAACCACAACGAUAGUUCGUCAAGUUAAUGUUGUUUUAACCUUCGCAAGGACCGGGCGUAGCCACACUUGAUUCAGCUAAAGUGAGAGAGACAGACACCCGCCAGCCACCUUUAAGCACGAGUGCUCGUAACGGUGAAACCAGUCUCGCGUAAGCGUACGCGUAAUGUCGGUCCGGGCCGCUUCAUCUCACAAUACCGCUGAGCCAAAGUAUGACAUGUUGGUAAGCAGUAUGACUUGUAUCGCCCACAACUCACUUGUGUUCUACUCGUGCAUAUGACAUCUACGCAUAAAACCUGGCUCGGAUGCCACUGUUGGCGAACGUAGUAAUUUCAAAAUUUUCCUACGCACACGCAAGAUCAUGGUGAUGCAUAGCAACGAGAGGGGAGAGUGUUGUCCACGUACCCUCAUAGACCGUAAGCGGAAGCGUUAUGACAACGCGGUUGAUGUAGUCGUACGUCUUCACGAUCCGACCGAUCCAAGCACCGAACGUACGGCACCUCCGAGUUCAGCACACGUUCAGCUCGAUGACGGUCCCCGGACUUCGAUCCAGCAAAGUGUCGGGGAUGAGUUCCGUCAGCACGACGGCGUGGUGAUGAUGAUGAUAUUCUACUGGCGCAGGGCUUCGCCUAAACUCUGCGACGAUAUGACCAAGGUGGAAUAUGGUGGAGGGGGGGCACCACACACGGCUAAGGAACGAUCUUGAAGAUCAACUUGUGUGUUCUAGGGUGCCCCCUGCCCCCGUAUAUAAAGGAGGGAGGGGGGUGCGGCCGGCCCCCUAGGGGUGCGCCUGGAGGAGUCCUACUCUGGUCAGGAGUAGGACUCCCCCCUCUUGCCUUGGUGGAGAAGGAAAAGGGGGAGUGGAAAGAGGAAAGGGGGUGGUGCCCCCCCCCCUUCCUUGUCCUAUUCAGACUAGGGGGGAGGGGGCGCACGGCCUGCCCUGGCCAGCCCUCCGCUUCUCCCUCAUGGCCCACUAAGGCCCAUUAACCCCCGGGAGGGUUCCGGUAACCCCCCGGCGUUCCGGUAAAAUCCCGAUUUCACCCGGAACCAUUCCGAUAUCCAAAUAUAGGCUUCCAAUAUAUCAAUCUUUACGUCUCGACCAUUUCGAGACUCCUCGUCAUGUCCGUGAUCACAUCCGGGACUCCGAACAACCUUCGAUACAUCAAAACUUAUAAACUCAUAAUAAAACUGUCAUCGUAACGUUAAGUGUGCGGACCCUACGGGUUCGAGAACUAUGUAGACAUGACCUAGAACUAUUCUCGGUCAAUAACCAAUAGCGGAACCUGGAUGCUCAUAUUGGCUCCUACAUAUUCUACGAAGAUCUUUAUCGGUCAAACCGCAUAACAACAUACAUUGUUCCCUUUGUCAUCGGUAUGUUACUUGCCCGAGAUUCAAUCGUCGGUAUCCAAUACCUAGUUCAAUCUCGUUACUGGCAAGUCUCUUUACUCGUUACGUAAUGCAUCAUUCCGUAACUAACUCAUUAGCUACAUUGCUUGCAAGGCUUAUAGUGAUGUGCAUUACCGAGAGGGCCCAGAGAUACCUCUUCGACAAUCGGAGUGACAAAACCUAAUCUCGAAAUACGCCAACCCAACAUGUACCUUUGGAGACACCUGUAGUACUCCUUUAUAAUCACCCAGUUACGUUGUGACGUUUGGUAGCACCCAAAGUGUUCCUCCGGUAAACGGGAGUUGCAUAAUCUCAUAGUCACAGGAACAUGUAUAAGUCAUGAAGAAAGCAAUAGCAAUAUACUAAACGAUCAAGUGCUAGGCUAACAGAAUGGGUCAUGUCAAUCACAUCAUUCUCCUAAUGAUGUGAUCCCAUUAAUCAAAUGACAACACAUGUCUAUGGUUAGGAAACAUAACCAUCUUUGAUUAAUGAGCUAGUCAAGUAGAGGCAUACUAGUGACUAUAUGUUUGUCUAUGUAUUCACACAUGUAUCAUGUUUCUGGUUAAUACAAUUCUAGCAUGAAUAAUAAACAUUUAUCAUGAUAUGAGGAAAUAAAUAAUAACUUUAUUAUUGCCUCUAGGGCAUAUUUCCUUCAAAAGUAUCCCAACAGGACGCCACACACCUUUCGGUCUCUCCAAGGUCAUUGGGACGCGAUCAAGCCGAUUUGUAGCUGUUGGGCUGCUUGCUUGACGCAAGUCCUCAAUGCACCUCCAAGUGGUACCGUUGAAGCCGACUAUGUGAGUUUGUUUUCAUGUCCCAAGUUGUGCAAAUCUUUUGUAGCCAUCGGAGUGGUUGCAUAAUUUGACAUCGUUUUCGUUUUGUAGGACAAAAUUGUGCAAGAAAGGUACAAGGACAUGGAAGCUUCAUGCAAAAAGGCAUUUCACUAGAGCAUUGCUGGGAACUUCUCAAAGAUAGCAAGAAGUGGAAGGUGAUUGACAAAGAAUCCCCAACGAAGAGAGGUGCACUCACCAAGAUGGAUGAUGAUGAAAAAGAAGAAGAUGACGAUGGCCCAAGAAACAAGAAUAAGCCCGAUGGAAACAAAAAGGCCAAAGACAAGAUCAAGAAGGAAGCAGAAGCAUCAAGCUUGCGGGACAAGCUAGAUCACAUGGUCAAGUCCAAUGAGCUAUUGGUGAUCAAGACAUUGAAGGAAAAAAAGUUGGCCGAGAAGAAGGCUCAAGGGAAGCAAGAGAAGUGGCAACUACUCAAGGAGGAGACCAUGCGCAAGGCCGCCAUUGAGGAGAGAAGAACCAUGGCCGAAGAGAACAAAGCCAUGGCCAAGCUCCUUCAAGAGGAGAACAAGAUCAUGAUGAUGAAUCGAAAUUAGAUGGAUGAGGUCACCAAAGAAUGGCAUGACAUUGCAAGGUUGGAGAUCUUAGAGAGGAGGAGGCUAGCCACAAGAGGCUAUGCGGUGCCAAGGUUCGGUGGUGGUUCGGCAAGUGGUGGUGGCAAUGAUGGAGGUGAAGAUUUCAUCUUGUGAUGAUGAUGAUGAUGGAGUGAUGACGAAUGCGGUGUCUUUUGGGUUGUGGCGCAAAAACUAUGUUCAAAUGUCUUCAAAACCGUGUCUAAAUUCUCGACACUUGUGUUUUAAAAAAUCGCGGUCAAUUGCAUUGUGUGGUUUUACGGUUUGAGGGCCGAAAUCGGCAACACGCGAAACAGAGCCCGCAAACCCGAGCGGUAAAAGAGAAUAUCGGGCUUUGUUCCGCCGCAACCGAUUUCGGCCCUUAAACGCGCUUUAUAAGGGUCGCGGUUUUAAGGGGUAUGCUAGAGAUACUAGAGAUGCUCUAACACCUUGCAAGCACUUAAGAGACCAUUCUUUUCUUUACUCCAUGACCAGAAAUCGGUCACUCUAUGUGUGCAAAGUGGGACAAAGAGGAUGGCCUCGGUAUCCAUGGGUAUGAACAAUUGUCGCACCAAAUCAACCUUCCAAGUAGCUGAUGUCUCAUCUAUAAGCUCUCGGACAAAAACUGGCCUAUCCGGUUGAGAAAUAGUAAUAAGUUUCAUAGAGCACACCCAGGGAAGCCAGUUAUGUCUCCAAAUCUCUGUUGAUGCUCCACCUCACAUACCAUCCCUCCAAUACCGAUCUCCAAAUUUGUGAAGGAUGGCUUCUACUCGAGAGUUAGGCUCCAUUAGUAACCUCCAUGCUUGCCUGGCCAACAAUGCAAGAUUGAAUAAUUCAAGAUCAUGAAAGCCUAGACCACCCAUGAAUUUUGGUCGAGUCAUCGCUUCCCAAGACACCCAAGCAACCUUCCUCUCACCAUUCUUGCUGCCCCACCAAAAAACUUGGGGAUUAUAGAAUUUAUAUACUCAUAUAGACCUUUUUGGAGUUUAAACAAGCCAUUCAAUAAAUUGGUAUGGCUGGAUCUACAGACUUGAUUAGAACCUCCUUCCCUCCACAAGAUAACAUCUUUUCAACUGCCUACCGCUUCGUUCUCAACCGCCCAGGAGAGGCGAUUUGGCAGGCGGAGCCGUUCCUGCUUCCUGUUGCUGGCAAGGCCGUCAGCUCCUCUGCCCUCCGCUCGCCGCUCCAGCGGUAGCAAGAGGGUGGGGGAUAGGUAUGUCGGGUGACGAGGCUCGCUCGGUGCAGAUGCCGCCACUAUGAAUAAAGUUUUUCGGGCCACCGCCUUGGCAGCAUUCUUCAAUGACGUCGAGGAGCCACAGAUUUGUGUUCGAGCGAGUUCUUCAAGACGGCGGUGGAGUUCAUGAUCUAGUUCUUGUUUCUUCACCCCCGUCCAUGUCGCGUCGGCUGCGUCUCCAGCAUCGUCGCAGAGCUGGAAGUAUGUGGCUUGGAGUUGGCCAACGCUUCCAGCACCAGUCUUAUCCAAGGGAUGGUCUACAUGGAGAUUUGGCGUGGAAGAUGGUUGCCGAUUCUGAAGUUUUUCGGCGGCUCUGCCACUCGGAAACUUCAAGACUGCGAUCCAAGAUGUGUGGAGUAUUACUGCGGCCGACGACCCACAUCGACAUAUGCGAUGUGACUUGUGACAGCUCAUAACGCAGCUUGGCUCCUAUGGCACUAUCUUGAAUCUUGGCAAGUUGGAGGCUUGUGUUUCUUCCCUCCGGCAAAUGCUUUGGCCACGACGGCGACUGGAUUCUUUGGCCAUGAUGAUGGUGGAUGCAGGAACCCAAAAGAUCAGUUUUCACUUUUUUAUUUUUAUGGAUUACUGUAGAUUUCCUUGUGUUGUCCCUCCGGGCUGUUCCAAAGAGAAGCCAUGUAUGUUGUAGUAUGUUCCUGCUUUUAUGAAUGAAUACAUGGUACUUCUAAAAAAAAGAUAACAUCUUUUCAUACUGCUACUGCCUAAAAUGGUCUGUGCUCAGCAAUGGCAUAAGCUUUCUUCAGAGUUCAGAACCACGCCAAGAGCCCCGCCCAUGCGUGAAUUAAAGGGAUCUGAAGAACAAAAUGAGACCGUGAAAUUACCAAAAGAGAUCUGAAACGAACACUAGUUCCACACAGUACAUAUUCUGCAAGAGACGAACAUGCAAAUAGCAUUGAAACCAGCCUGCUGAGGUUGGAUGCACAAUCAGGACAGAAGGAAACGCACACAAUCAAGCCAACAGCAGACGAUGACAACGAGCCAGCCAACAGGCCACGAUCACACGGGCGGAACAACAUGCAAACAGUGCAUCACUGGCGACAACCUCACCACCCUGCAAGUAUGUCACGGGCUCAGAAUCUGAAUUCGACAAGAAUAAUCAAGAGUACUCAUUACAUCUAAUGGAUAGCUCGAACAUCAUCAGUAACAUUCUAUGAUCGAGAGCGCUAGGCACAAACUAAGCUCAACACCAACCAAGCAGCCUUCUUGUGAAGGCUACCAACUAAGGACUAAGGGACCAA